rnacentral:lncRNA from 1 species
UAGCCGGCUUUUGUAGCAAAUUCUAUUUGUUCUUCGCCGCUUUGGGUUGUGGGGCUUACUUCCUAGCCCCAGUGGGAGUAGUGACUAGCGUUAUAGGUCGUUGGGCGGCCGGAAGGUUGCCACGAGUAAGUAAGUUUGGUGGACCGAAGGCAGUUCUCUGUGCACCGGACACGUAGCUUACCGAAUAAGUUGCGACACGGAUGGGAAUGCAUGCUAUGAAUGAUAGGGUCGAGUCUGAUACAUCAACCUUCUACUCAAUAUCCUUGUACGAGUCCACAAUGACUACACGAGAGAACCAUGGUUUGGUGAAUUGAAGUUGGCUUUAGGUGUAAUAGGACUCCCAGUUACUGCGCGUGAUGGUAUGUUGAGAUGCUCCCCGCCGGUUGUUGGAACCACACGAGCCGAGCCGGGUCUCAAUUCAAAAAGAUGAAGGGCCCAAUAGUCUAAAUAGGGGAUUACAAAUUCACCAUCUCAUUGGGGGCAGAAAACGAAUCAACAUCUCGAUGUGAUACAUCCCUUUCGAUUGUUGUUGGAAAAGAACGGUGAAGUCCAUACGAACCAUCCAAUGAAGAAUAAGAGGAGAGCAAAGCGCCAAUGGCGCGCAAAGCGCAUGCGGUACUGGAACGGAGAUAAAGAAGUGUGGAGGAGAAGCAGCCGAGCUCAUUCCCUUCGCUUCCUGGGCGCAAAGCAAUGUAGUCUUUCCUGGCCAAAUCAAGGAUUUGGGGCUUCUUGCUACGCUACAACACUAUUAAAAUCCAUUUUGAUUAGUAAUAUAUAUGAAUAGAAAGAUAUAUCCAUCCAUCUAUCCUAUCCGAUUUAGAUUUUUAUAUCUAAAAAAGUAUCGAUUUCAUUCAACGUUUGAUUCAACGAACUUCGCUUAGCCCCCCCCCGCUCAUGAAACGACUCUGCUGCAAUGGAUGGCAGAGGGUCCGUAGUACCCGAAGCACUGGAGUGAUCCAGUAGCCGGGAAGGGGCCUAGAAGUGCCUACUACUACACCACACUACACUUGGCUCUACACAUUUACAGAGCUAACCCCUGUCCAGUGCUUGGCAGAGCUAAGGGGGCUUCAAUCCUUACUCUUUAUCCCCAUCUUCGCCCAGGCUAACGUCUUACAACUACACCACACUACACUUGGCUCUACACAUUUACAGAGCUACCCCAUGUCCAGUGCUUGGCAGACCUAAGGGGGCUUCAAUCCUUACUCUUUAUCCCCAUCUUCGCCCAGGCUAACGGGGCCUUACUUAUUCAGGGGGGAGCCUCGAAAAGCACUGUUGAGAGGAAGAUCCUUGGCCCCUCUUCAUUCUCUACAGGGUUCCAAACCUUUCUUCAACAUAGGUGACAACGAGCCAGGCAGAGAUGGAAGAGAUCAAACACGGGAAUAAGAAGCAAGCUCACCUUCCUUUUUGAUCAUUUUGAUAGAGGGGGAUGAAGAAAGUGGACAAAACAGACUCGCAUUAGGGGGGAGCCUCGAAAAUCACUGUUGAGAGGAAGAUCCUUGGCCCCACUUCAUUCUCUACAGGGUUCCAAACCUUUCUUCAACAUAGGUGACAACGAGCCAAUCAGAGAUGGAAGAGAUCAAACGCGGGAAUAAGAAGCAAACUCACCUCCCUUUUUGAUCAUUUUGUUAGAGGGGGAUGAAGAAAUUGGACAAAACAAACUCGCAUUUCUCAUCGAACAAAUACAGGAAAAGAAUCAUAUUGAAAACGCUCCUAACCCAACCCCUUCCUUCGUAGAGCCCGUGUAUUGUAAGUGAUCCGAACCUGCCCGGAGCGAGCCUCCCAUAGAGGCAAGUGAAGUUGGUGAGCCGUAUGAUGGGCAACUAUCUCCUGCGGUUCGGAGAGGACUCAGCUGUUAGUUAGUACCCCCUUGGUUUCGGGGUGGACCUUUUCACUCUAUUUUAUUAUAUACGCUUAGCGAAAAGAAUGUUUUUUGAUACACCUAGGACAUGGAUUCUAUAUGAACCAAUGGAUCGUGGAAAAGAAUGUUUUUAGAUACACCUAGGACAUGGAUUCUAUAAGAACCAACGGAUCGUGACAACUCGUUACUACUAGAAAUGACUUCCUCUUUCAUUACUUCAUUCUUUCCAUAUCCCUCUCCUUUGUUCUCAGUUACUCAUCAAAUGGCACUCAGUUCAUAUCUUUAAGUUCGAUCAUUGACAAGGUUCAAAGAAAGGGUGGGCCAUUGAUAAAGAAUCGAUGGAAAACCACAAUGCUAGCAGAUGGCGGGCCUCCGCUUUUCUUUUCAUUAAUGAAACCCGCCAGUUAUUAUGAANNNNNNNNCUGGAAAACCACAAUGCUAGGAGAUGGCGGGCCUCCGCUUUUCUUUUCAUUAGUGAAACCCGCCAGUUAUUAUGAACUCAAAUAAAACAAAUACGGAUUUAGAAGGCUUGUUCAAAAGAAAAAAAGACGUGGGUGGCAUUAUGACUGGGGUGUCAGUUAGAAAGGUUCUUACAAUGUUCGUUCAAUCAAGCAGCAUUCUUUUUUUCUUAACUUAAGGAGAGGGAAGAGGGCUUUCUAAGAAGGGCUUGGGACCUAUGAACAGAACAACACAACAAAAUGAUGAAAUGAAGAAGAAUGAACGGGAGGCAUCGGAGGAAGGACUGACGUAUGUUCGUUCAAUCAAGCUGCAUUCUUUUAUUCUUAACUAAAGGAGAGGGAAGAAGGCUUUCUAUAAAGGGCUUGGGACCUAUGAACAGAACAACACAACAAAAUGAUGAAAUGAAGAAGAACGAACGGGAGGCAUCAGAGGAAGGACUGACGAACUUCUUACUUGUGUUUGGUUAACUACUUUACUGACUUGGGGUUCUUUCUCGUAAAGGGUAUACCUACACCCCUCUCCCUUUGUCUACGCGCUUCUGCUUAGUAUGUCGUUUAUAUGCUUCUUAAUAAUCCAGAGGCCCCUAUUUUUUGUUCUUCUUUUGGUUGCGCACCAAUACAGGGGCUAAGGGACCCAAUUCUUAUGACUCAAGAAGCAACUUACGGCAGUCUUUGAUCUAGCUAUAAGGCUUCGAGCUAGCUCAGAAUACCCGGCUUUAGAGCUUGAUGCAGUCAAACUUGACCCUAUUUCAAGGUUGCCGCUAAGCAACAUUUUCUGAUGAUGGUGAAGAGUAUUCUCCCACAAUGUCUGUUGGCAGGUCGGCUUCCGGAGUUUGAGUCUCAAGCUAGGGAUCACCACUUCCUUUAGCAGAAGCUCCGAUAUGAAAUGAUGCUGAAGAGUAUUUUCCCACAAUGUCUGUUGGCAGGUCGGCUUCCGGAGUUUGAAUCUCAAGCUAGGGAUCACCACUUCCUUUAGCAGAAGCUCCGAUAUGAAAUAGCAAUCGUUAUAGAUAGACUUUGAGAUGCUUGAAUAGCUGCAGCCUAGCCUUUUCGUUAAUUGGAUCUCCUUCCUCCACUGUUAAUAAGUGGCAGCAAGACUCGAAUCCUCUACCUCUGCCUGCUCUACUAUGGUGAAUUGUGUGAACCGACUCAUCUAAAAAACUUAGAUAUCAGAGAGGGAACACUUUUAUUUAGUUAAUUAUGUAUUAAUAGCUAGUACGUCGUUGCUGAGAUAGAAUACCCCAAAAAGUGUCAUUUGAACACUUGGUUAAAAAAGAAUUUUGAAGAAAGUCAAGCGCACCAAGUGCGUGUGAUAACUAGAAAUUCACAAUAAGAAAGAGUCAAUAGUUUCCCAUAGAAAGCAUGUGGCUCAACAGUUUCAAGAUUUAGGCAGAGUUUCUGUUAUGUCUAUCUUAUCAACCAUAUAUAACAAUGAACAUUGUCCAACACCAUUAAACAGGAUAGAGCAACGCUUAACUUACAGUUCAUGACACAAUGGAGCAUCUUAGACAAGAUGAAAUUGAGGAUUUGUCAUUGUCCCCUCCAGCUGUUGGCUCCAUGCAGAUUGCUGGAAGCAAUGGCUUUGGCCAUAACAGAACUUUGUCCAACACCAUUAAACAGGAUAGAGCAACGCUUAACUUACAGUUCAUGACACAAUGGAGCAUCUUAGACAAGAUGAAAUUGAGGAUUUGUCAUUGUCCCCUCCAGCUGUUGGCUCCAUGCAGAUUGUUGGAAGCAAUGGCUUUGGCCAUAGCAUAGAGUUCAUGUCUCAAGCUUACCUCAGAAAAAGAAGCUCUGAAAUUGAUAUAGAGGUAGAGGAUGAUUCAUCAAUUGCUGAUAAAGAUCAACCCCUCCCCAUAUUUCUCAAGGUACUUUUUUUCUCUAACCAAUCUUUCAUUUCUCAGAAAUGUUUCAAAGAAUCAAAAUUGUUUAUAUAAGAUUUAAAUGGUCUUUGAAUGCAGUUCGUGGAUGUUGAGUACAAGGUGAGGAUUAGCCAAGCUUCCUCCAACAAUCCUGUCAAGGCAGUUGUAUCAAAGGUAGCUUCCCAGUUUAUGCACGAUAAUUACAAGUAGAUACUCAAGGGUAUAAAAGGAAGGGUGAAAUUCUUGCCUUAAUGGGGCCUUCUGGCAGUGGGAAAACUACCUUCUUAAAGAUAUUGGGAGGAAGACUGCAAGAAAAUGUCAGAGGAACUGUCACAUACAGUAACAUCCCAUAUAAUACAGCUAUCAAUAGGAGGUAUAUUACCUAUCCAUCAAUAAUUCUUUUUUCCUUCUCUCUUUCUUUUGCCUUAAAACCAAGAAUAUAGAAAAGUCUUUCUUUCAAUGUACAUGAUUUUGUAUUAACUUCCAUAUCGAAUUGAGCAAUGUUGUGCUAGGUGGGUUUCGUGACACAAGAUGAUGUGCUUUUUCCACAAUUAACAGUAGAGGAACCCUUAGUUUUUGCUGCAUUCUUAAGACUUCCUUGCAAGAUGAGUCGACAUCAGAAGUAUGAAAGAGCUAAAGUGAUUAUUAAAGAAUUAGGCCUGGAAAUGUGUGUGAGCUACCACAAUCUAAUACUGUCAAAAGAAAUUGGAACAUGAUUGUUGCAAGUGUUCAUUCCUGAAUUUCACAAUCAUAGAUGUCGUCACACGAGAAUAGGUGGAGGACUAAUUAAAGGCAUAUCUGGGGGAGAGAGAAAAAGAACUAGCAUAGGGAAUGAAAACCUUGUUGAUCCUUCUCUCCUCUUGCUCGACGAACCAACUUCAGGGCUUGAUUCGUGCUCCGCAAGGAAGGAACGAGUCGGUUCCCCUUUCCGCCUUUCGGUAACAUAAAGAAAUUAGAUUCAAAUUGACAAACCACCAAAAGAGUGAGAAAAAGGGGGCAAGUGUACAUUAGGCCAUGUGCAACAAACAAAGUACAAGGAUAGCACCGUACCCUCAUAGUCCUCAAUCUUUGGCACAUCAGGAUCAGGAUCGGUGGAAACUCACUCGAUCUGCGCGUCUACCGGGGCACCAUACUUACUUUUUUCUUUACGAUGUAAGGAGUGCACGGAACUUCAUAAAGAGUGAGUAGAAUUAAUUCUAUACCCAUAUCCUUGGAACAACUGUUAAAUAAACUCCAUCUUAGUCUACCCGACUUUGCUGGAAAAAGUAAGUUUUCGCCUCUGUUCUUGAAAAGUCAAGACCCGUUGGGGAAUCUAUUCUAGACCCGCCUGCCGGCCCUAAAUCUAUCUUACUCUUCCUUGGUCUCUUCCACGGAUCGGUGGAUAUGAAAUAGAAUGAAUUCAAGGACAAAGUCGCCGGUAUACUGUGAUCCAGAUCCAGGAAGGGCCAGACAUGAAUCGGAAAGAGUCAAUAGAAUGAAUUCAAGGACAAAGUCGCCAGUAUACUAUGAUCCAGAUCCAGGAAGGGCCAGAUAUGAAUCGGAAAGAGUCACUUUCCUCAAAGGAAAAAGGGUGUGCGCUAAAGCUAGAGCAACUCUUUUUUGCGAUAUAGGUGUAAUUUAAUUAAUUCAGUACUAAAGGUCUUCCCUCGUCAAACGAAUAAAAAAAAUCAGGUUGGCUUUUCGACGUGCUCCUUUUCUUCAGUUAUAGGGCAAAUAGAGGGAGGCAACUGAAACAUUUAGAGUCGAGUUUACGCUCUUUCCUUUUCUUUGGAUAUGCUUUUCCUAGCCGUAGUCGUACUCAAGUACCCUUGCAGGGGAAUCCACUUUUGAGAUGGAGAGAAUCCCGGGAUGCAUAUGCUCUUUUCAGGGUUGAAGGAAGAAGUAAGCGUAAGGGUCUAACAGUAGGAUUCCUCAUCCAUCAGUCCUAUCAAUUAGGCACCCUUCUUAUAUACUUAUUGCAGAAAUGUGGGGCUCGUUACGUUAACGUAUGGUAAUUAAAGUGACUUCUUUGUGGUAUGACAGCAGUAGCAAAAAAAGAAGUUGCUCACUCUGCUUUAGCGAGAAAGGGUUGACUAUCAUACGGAAAUGAAACUAGUAAAGUAAGAUGCCGGAACUCUUGCUUUCGUCUUGUCUUUACUCUUCCCCCCAUCCUCCCGUCGCCUGUCCACUCAACUCUGAUACCCGAAUCUCCUUUUGUUUGAAGUUUAUUGGACAUGAAUGAACCCGAACAGACGUACCCGCUGCUUCUGCUUUCUGCCAUAUGGGUUCAGUUUCAUUUUCCCCCCAUCCUCCCGUCGCCUAUCCACUCAACUCUAAUACCCGAAUCUCUUUUUGUUUGAAGUUCAUUAGACAUGAAUGAACCCGACAGAUGUAACCGCUGCUUCUGCUUUCUGCCAAAUGGAUUCAGUUUCAUAAUGUUAUUAUUGGACUCCAUUUAUUGAAUUUGGUCUAGCUAUAUUACAAGCUUAUGUUUUUACGAUCUUAAUCUAAUUAUAGUAGACAACCGACUUUCUUAAUAAAGAGAAGUUGGGGACAUAGUAAACCUCCUACUAUAAGAGCGAUUCCCUGGGACCGGAUCGACUUUCUUAUUAAAGAGAAGUUGGGGACAUAGUAAACCUCGUACUAUAAGAGUGAUUCCCUAUGAUCGGAAGGGGAAAGAUUGAAUCUUCAAAGACUGAGCCCCCGGCUAGCAAGAUCGGGAGGGUUAGUGUCCUCCUAAGAAGGAAUACCCAACUUCUGGGGACAGCUUCGAUCACGAGCAGAGAAGAGCGGACCAUUGAAAGUCUCAAUUCCUAUCCGCCCAAGGUAGAGAGUUCGAUUUCAAAUCCAACGAUUUAUUGACCUACGAAUCCGCUAUUACGCAACUCAGAGCGGACCAUUGAAAGUCUCAAUUCCUAUCCGCCCAAGGUAGAGAGUUCGAUUUCAAAUCCAACGAUUUAUUGACCUAUGAAUCCGCUAUUACGCCACUCAACCCUUCUCCGCAAACUCUUUAAGUUGUUGGAUGCGCAAAACAACCUAUUCCCCUUUACGAUGACUCGGUGACCUUUUACACGUUAGACCUGGAUGCACGUAAUCUUUACUUUCGCCUUUCACUCGUGUAGUUGGACUGACUAGUGACUUCAAAUUAAACCUUGAGACCGAGCCUUGCCUCUCACCUUUCGGUUCAUUCCAAGGAAAGACUAAAAAAAAAGGAAGCUUUUGGCGGACACAAGCCCUCAGGACUUGACAUUUGGACACCGGGAAGCUUGCCCCUUGAGACUGCAUCCUUCGUUUGGAACAACCCUUUUCCUUUCCAAAGUGGAAUUCCUCCUUGGUUUCCCCUUUGACCUGUGCCAAACUCCACUUUUGCUGUUGCCAGGUGGAAUGAUUCAUUUAACCUCGGUAUUGGAAACCAAGGCACCCUUCUCUGUCAAAUGAAUCUUCAAAUCAUAAUCUUCAAACCACGACUCCGAUCACGGUUUCCAGUUGACUUUAUCUCAGGUGACAGAGGCAGGAGAACACUUCACAAAAUGCGCUUUGACAGCGAGCGAGAUCUUUGAAAUUCAAUCAGAAUAGCACUGGGUGGGUAAGAUAUAGGAUUCUUGUCUAAGUCGCGUGGAUCACAAAAUGGAUCUAUGAUUUCAAGUCCACUCGUUGAUUUCUAGAAAACCGGCAGCACUGGGUGGGUAAGAUAUAUGAUUCUUGUCUGAGUCGCGUGGAUCACAAAAUGGAUCUAUGAUUGCAAGUCCACUCGUUGAUUUCGAGAAAAACAAAUCAAUUGGCUUUUUUCCCAUCGAUGCCUCCAACUCAAGAUUUUUCUUCAUAGAACUGGCCAUCUAAUGCAUAUUCAUCCAUCUAUCAGCUGCGUCUUCUUUAGUGAAUGAAAGAGGGACUCGUUUCAUAGGUAGCAAGGAUAGGAAGAAGGGGUUCAAUGAAGGCUGCUGUUGAGGUUUUUGUAUAUUCAUCCAUCUAUCAGCUGCGUCUUCUUUAGUGAAUGAAAGAGGGACUCGUUUCAUAGGUAGCAAGGAUAGGAAGAAGGGGUUCAAUGGAGGCUGCUGUUGAGGUUUUUAUUCCAACUAGCAAGGAAAGGCCUCGUUUUGGUCAUGUAGAAUGAAUGUGAAAAGCAGAACCUCAGAAUCGUAUGAUUCAGAUACCUGACGAAAUGAACAGAUAAUAGAACGGGAUGACCUAUUUCAAGAUCAGAUGAUCCACCUCUUUGUCCUCUUGGGAGGGCUAACUCGGAUAGGUCAGAUACGAGGGAAACAGCCCAUAAAAGACAAAUCGGAUGCCCUGUCCGAUGCAGUUAAUGAUGCGGAGCUUCCAACUAGCUAAGCUAGGUAGUUUGUUGUUAGAAUAUCUAUCCUAGUAGGAAGAUGGAAUGAAUAUACUAUACACUAUAGGAUAAUCAAAGAAUAGGCCUGUUGGAACUAUAUCAAAAUUAGAAUGACAAGGAAUAUCCGUAACCAUAUAUAAUAAGUUGGGCUCUAUCGUUCCCACCCACCUCAUUAAUAUCUGGAGGGAAGAAUCCGAGGGUAGCCUGAUGAUUAAGGGAUAGGGACACUGUCAACAGGGUAUGGUUCUUUUGUAUCACCCCGGAUGACGCGCACUGCUUUAAAUAAAGCGCAGUGAAUAAUGCGCCAGACCGCCUUACCAGUUGAAUCGUUCUCUUAUAGAACGGGUAAGCCGUCAGGUCAAAGUACGUAUUUGAGGAUUGCCUCUCCAUGACAGAUGUCUUCCUCCUCAUUUUCCAAUAACAAAUUCAAAUAGGCUUGACCCUUCUGCAGUUGAACCGUUCUCUUAUAGAACGGGUAAGCCGUCAGGUCAAAGUACGUAUUUGAGGAUUGCCUCUCCAUGACAGAUGUCUUCCUCCUCAUUUUCCAAUAACAAAUUCAAAUAGGCUUUACCCUUCUGUUUGUGUUAUUUGUGACUGUUGGACCCUCCACAUAAUCUUUGAUUAUUGACUUCUCCGUAAUUAAACCUGCCAUCGACCCCCCUUGAUAACAUGUCCUUGUAACUUUCCUAUGUACGGUCUCUCCACUAAUCUUUGAUCUACGCGCACUAGCUUUCUCGGGGACUAAUGCCGUACUGUUGGUCUUUCGUCCAUUACCUAUGGUCUUUGGUAAGUAGUUUAUAGUUCACUUUCGUCUAUGGCCUGCCUCGCUCUCUUUUUAACUUAGUUAUUAGUACUUCGGAGUGGUGCAUACUCUCCUGCUUGGCUAUUGAAUGAAUCUUAUGCUUGUCAGGUCCACUCCGCUGUCUUCUCUUGCCUAUCGUCCACUUCGGUGACUCCAAUCCCGGAAAGAUGAUCUCUUCCACUAACCUCUUCCCAUGAACUUCCGGAGUCCCUAUCUAAUAGUCACCCCCCUCCCUUACUGACUAAGGCUAAGGUGGUGUCAACCAAAGGGGCAAGAAGUUCUCACAUGAAUAGACGUUUGAAUAUUCGCUCAGUACUUGAACCAUAGUCACCCCCUCCCUUACUGACUAAGGCUAAGGGUGUGUCAACCGAAGGGGCAAGAAGUUCUCACAUGAAUAGACGUUUGAAUUUACUCAGUACUUGAACCUUCAAUCACUCGGAUUCGUCGUUCACCUUCUCAAACCGACGAAGCCUACUCGACCAUCGUAUUCCCUGCCCCCAUACCUGAAUGAAGGAAAGUAAUAGCUAUAAAAAGAGGCUAUUCCAUCGUUGGCAUAACAUGAACCAAGGAAUCCAACCAAAUAUGAAUGAAUAGGCAUGUGGGAACAUCAUUGCUUGCAUUGAUUCAAUUGAUUUGAAGCGGAGGUUAUACUAUACAUACAUAGUUUUCACGAGGGGUUUUUACCGAAUUGUUCACAAGCCCGUCAGAAGCAACCUCAGCAGAAAUUCACUCUUCCAGAGUCUCGUCCAUUGUCUGCUUAGGCGACUAUUUAAUAGCCUUUAGAUCUUCCUGUGAGUUAGGCCUAAUACUCUACUAUAUAGGAUAGGCUAGGCUCUUUCCUCUGUUCUUUUUAAUAUACACUAAACCGAAAGUCUUGGUUUCAAUGACUCCCCAAGCCAUGACCUAUUUGAUCCUUCAGAACCAGCUUCAGCAUUGAGUAAAGAAAAGAAGAAUUCACUAUUGGAUCCUUCGGCCGUGUGGACAUCAAAAUCUUCACUUUCAUGAGCAGGGAUAUUUAGCUAUUUAGCUGGCCGUGUGGACAUCAAAAUCUUCAUUUUCAUGAGCAGAAAUAUUUAGCUAUUUAGCCUUAGAGAAAGGCUGACUUGAGAACCCUAGUCCCUUACUUUCAGAGAAGAAGGACAGCUCCGUUCGUGAUUCCCGGGUAGGGAUCACUUCACUCCAGCGCCACUAGAGACUUCUUGCAUCUUUCCUUGAAAAUCGACUAAGCGCGAACAGAAGCAUCCAUGAGCAAGAACUAGAAUAGAUAGAACGAAUACGUGACCAGAGAAUGAGAUGGGAGGCGUGACUACCGUGCUCUUAUGCUGAAAAGUACCUCUUAUCCGCCCUAAAAACGUGCGAGAAUUGCAAUGCAAGCGGCGAAACUGCAGCAACAGCCCCUCUCCUUAGAGUCAAGUGGCUGAACGCCCCUCGAAUCUUGUCUUCGGUUGCUAACCACCUGCGCAAGGGCCUUGUUAUUUAUAGGAGAGAUUAGGGAGACAGAAUUCCAAUGCAAGCGGCGAAACAACAACAACAGCCCCUCUCCUUAGAGUCAAGUGGCUGAACGCCCCUUGAAUCUUGUCUUCGGUUGCAAACCACCUGGUCAAGGGCCUUGUUAUUUAUAGGAGGGAUUAGGGAGAUGAGGCAAGGAAGGGAUCAAGGAAUGACCCGCCAAGAAUUCGAUGUUCGAUGAUAGAAUCUUUGGAAUCGUUAGCUAAAAGAAAAGCCGGCCUUUUCUUUUGCAUGCUUUUUUACAUUUCAGUUCAGAUACCUUUCUUGACUUGCGCCUUCACACGCUCGACCGCUCCCCCAUCCCACCUGACCCAUUCUAGCGGGGAAUAACCACAAUCCGUAGAAGCCGCAUCCUCAAGGGCUGAGUGAUUAUGCCAGUGAUCAAGAUAUCAACCAUAUAAAUAGGUAGUAAGAUGGUUAUGGACCCACGAUGACGAAAAGUAAGUGAUGCGUCAGACAUAGAAACUCUUAGGCCAAACUAAAUGUUGAUCAGUGAAGACAAGAAAGCUUUUAAGUGUAGAUGACUACAUGUACUUUAAAUUCCAUUCCUUUAUCCGGUGGGAGGGUCUAGAGACAGUUAAGCCAAUAGCAUAUCUAGCAAAAGCUUCAGCAACACUAGCUACAUCAGUAGACCAUUGAUUAGCAUACCUCCUCUGAAUAGUCUAUGUGGACCCUAGUUUAUAUUACUAUUAAUUGGAAUUAAUCCAGUAAUGCAUACAGCCUUGACUUUCUUAAAGAGCAGGAGGUUUAGCGUCAACUCAUUCAAUGAAUGUUAUUUCAUUCACCACACAGAUGAAUCCUACUCUAUAUUUUCCAGCGGACAGUCAUUUGUAUAAAGAGAAUAGACGUAUAGCAGUUCUCUCUCAUAACAGAAUGAAAGCAAGCAAGAACGAAAUGAGCGCUUACCCUAUCGACCGAAGCUACUAUCCUAAAAUCAGAAACUCCUAAAUUAAAGAACUACAGGAAAGGUAAUAUACUGAGGUUGCCUCCCAUUAUGCACCAAUGCUUGAACAUGACCGUUAACCUUUACCAAAAGAAAGAAGAGCUAUUGGUCAGUUUCCUAUGGUUGACCGAUACAGCUCGACCGAUUGGGACAGGGCAAAUGCGACGGAUGGAAGGGAUAUAAUUUGAAGAAGUAAGUCAUUUGUGGACUGAUUCCGACCAUUUACCAGAAGACAAGAGAUUCAAGGUAUGGCUUUAGGAAAGGUAUUCAUUAUACGGAUAUCGUUUAACAAAUUGCCCGAUUGCAAAUUCACUGCGCCUACCAAUGACGCCUUUCACUUUAGAUAGUUCCUCGCGCAUGAAAGGACUUCACAUAGAAAAUCAAGAUAAUAAUGGAUGGUCUACGAUCAGGGAAUGCCUUUUUUGUUAAAGAUAAUUGGCCGUAGAGAGAGCGCCUAUCUCUCAUAAGAGAAGGAGAGCCACUUUUUUUGAUAGUAUAUUAAUGAGUAGGACUUAAAUUCCAAGCGCUCCUAGCUCAGAAACCACACACAGACAAAGACAUGGAGGCCCAUAAAACUCAUAAAUAAUAGACUAAGAAAUAUACGUGACAUACACUUCCUGUGUGAAGUUUUCCAAAGAUAUGGAGGCCCAUAAAACUCAUAAUUAAUAGACUAAGAAAUAAACGUGGCAUACACUUAUUGUGUGAAGUUUUCAUCUUAUUGAAUCAAAGCAGUUUGUAAAAUGCUCCUUUUUUUCUGCAACAAGUAAGACUACUUUUUCUUAUCAUACACCCUUAUGAAUGAAUGAAUCUCAAAAAUGAGACUCCUAAACUAGUCCCCCUCCUCUCUUUCUUCAAAGACAGAGGUACACAUCACAGGAAAAAAACCCAAAAACAUAAAGAGAAAGAAGUAAGUCAAAAAAUAGGAAAUACUGCUAGAUGGCUAGCAGAUUAGCAGCAAAGUACGAUUAUACUUCCUUUUGGCACAACAAAAUAUUUCCGACUUUGGGGUUUUUAAUUUUGUCCGCUCUUUUUGGCAAGUAGGUGAUGCACCUACUUGUCACCUACUAAUCUAUGCAGGCUAGUAAAAAUAUAAUAAUCUCUUUAAAGUUGUCCAGUUCUCCAGCAGGGUGGCCAUAGUGAGAUAGAGUGGUGAAACUGGGUUCCAAAUAAAAAUAGAGCGAGGAGGGAAGGCAAAAGCUAUGACAUUUGAAUCCAAUUCAAUGUUCAACUCCCCGAAGCAUUUCAUCGAUUACUACGCCCUUCUUCCUCUCUGGGUGCCUGGGUAUCCACCCUAAGCCUUUCCUCCUUUGAACCUCGCCCUCUCGUCACGCUUGCCGACAACCCGCUUUCUAUCCCCCGAGCACUCAGUGGAAGAAGAGGAAUCAAGUCAUGCAGUCAGAAAUCCAAGUCUUGCUCCCGUAGUCAGUCCUUGGGGUUGAUCUCCAGGUUCUGAUUCUGCCUCAUCUGAUAAUAGGAGUACCUCCGUAAGGACUCCAUCUCAACAUCAAUUUGCAUUUGAUGGCUAUUUUACUUGAACAUUUUCAUUAACACCUUACGCUUGUAGACAAACAGAAAGCUUUCCCCCUGAUUCUGCCUCAUCUGAUAAUAGGAGUACCUCCGUAAGGACUCCAUCUCAACAUCAAUUUGCAUUUGAUGGCUAUUUUACUUGAACAUUUUCAUUAAUGCCUUCCGCUUGUAGAUAGACAGAAAGCAGCAAGAGAGCCCGAGGUGCUGACUCGCAGCGAGGCAGGCCCGUCUAUCCCGAUCGGGAUGAUAAAGACUUGUCCGUCCUUGAAUUAAGACUUGAAUGAAGCAGAAACCCGAGGGAAAUCUCAAAAAAAAGAGUCUCGGUUCACUCUUCACCAUAGUAGUGUCGCAUAAAAAGUGGCACCUUCCCUUCGCUAUAAGCUGAGUUCCCAUGUUGGGGAGUACAAGUCUCAGGUCUUUCCUUUCCUCUAUGGCAGAAAGUCCCUCCAGCUUGUCUGGUUAACCGGACUACCUAUUCAAAGAUGAACUAAUUGCCUUUGGUUUCUUCUAAUGGCAAGCCUGUGCCUCCUCGAUUCCUGCUUUCCAGUACGCAAAUAUCAAUGGCACCGGGGAAAACUCAGUCCAGAGAAAAAAUAUAAGUUAGGAAAGAGUAGUCACGCAGACCAGCACAUGUGAGCUAGGCAAGCCUGUGCCUCCUCUAUUCCUGCUUUUCGGGGUACCUCUUCAUCUAGUAUCAGACGAUUCUAUUGAUUUCUUCUCGGUGAAAAACAAAGGUUUGGAACCCUGGACUCUUUCUCGUGAACUUGUUCAGUAAAAUAAAUAGAUGGAUCGCCCUUUCCUAUCCAGGAAGUUGAUCCCCGUUGCCCAAAACCAACAAGGGUUCUAAUAGUCAAGUAAAUGGUGGGACCUCCUUCCGGGAACUCUGAUGAACUUAUCUUAUUGAGUCUCUCUCCUAGGGUUGGUUUUCUCAUCUGAUCCUAAAUCAUUCAACAACCUAAGUGUUGUAGCUCUCUUUUUCUUCGCUGCUAGACGAGGAGCUGGGUAGAUAGAUAAUAGAUCCUCUCCCUAGGAUGGUAGCUUCUAUUCCUUGAUUGCCCCGCAAGUUAAAUAAGGGAUUCUAAUGCUUCUUGAAGCCAAAUAAGGGCAUAAACCACUAUAUAGAGUCUUGAGUGCCUUCCCUUCGGAAACCAACUAAGGCAACUCCGAUUGAAUGCGAAAUCCCGCUAGCCAUUAUUCGUAUGAACUCCUAGAUCCAUGAAGGACAUGGGCAUCUGUAAGCCGGUGUAGCUAAGCGAAAAUCUCGCUAGCCAUUAUUCGUAUGAACUCCUAGAUCCAAUAAGGACGUGGGCAUAUGUAAGACGGUGUAGCUAAGCAAAGAGCGAAAAGAAGGAAUCAGAAAAUCAAUGCAUUCCUUCUUAAUCUUGCCGAUGAUGAUAUCUUAAUCAAAGAAAAGAAUAUUUAAUAAGAAAAUAAAAUUUCCUUUUCCGGGUAUAGGUUUAAUUAAGAAUUCCAGGUGGUCCAGUGGAUGGAUUAAGCUAUUGAUCAUAUCAUAGGUCAAGGACGGAACGAAGAACCAACGUUUUUCUUCCUCCUCUGUUCUUUACUAAGAUUGUAAUAGAUUCGUGCUUUCUCUUCCCCGAGGGAACGGACUAGCACAAUAAUUCCGAGUCACCUAUCCAUUAUGUGAGUGAGCCCGCCCUACGGAUCCCCUUUCUUCAAUGGGGGAGGGGUCAUAGCUUCUCUGCCCGCUUAGUUUCACAAGUCUGAAUGAUUUGGGGCAGAGAAUCUGCCGUAGAUGUGAAAUUUGCUAAUUUUCAUUCUCAGCUUUCUCAUCACAUGAAUGANNNNNNNNNNNNNNNNNNNNNNNNNNNNNNNNNNNNNNNNNNNNNNNNNNNNNNNNNNNNNNNNNNNNCAUGAAUGAGACAUAACUUCUUAUCAUAAGAAUAGUGAACUAGAAAUCAGAUUUUGAUUGGUUUGAGGAUUUCGACCUUGAACUAGAAGAGGUUCUUUUUUCUUUGGACAGACAGGAAAGAGAGAUCGCGAUGAUGACGACUUGAAGAAGUAUAGUAUAAAUCAAAUAGAAGGCUCGUUCGUAGAUCAGCACAAAGCUAUUAAUCCAAUCCGAUCCAAGAUGAGUAGCCGAGUUCUUCUUCCUAUGGUUGGCACGAGAAUCCCUCUCAAAGGGGAAGAAUCUGAUUCGAUCUCCGGGCUUAUAACCAACCUAUGAACAAUGGUCUGUCUCGUCUAGUUGGUCUCCUUCUUGGCAUCAAGAGUCGUCAGUACUGAAAAGGCCCUGGCAUUACCUUCGUUCCGGGCUUAUAACCAACCUAUGAACAUUGGUCUGUCUCGUCUAGUUGGUCUCCUUCUUGGCAUAAAGAGUCGUCAGUUCUGAAAAGGCCAUAGCAUUACCUUCGGGAAAUCUAGGAGGACAGCUCGCCCAGCCUAUGGUGGACGUUGGUUGAGUCGGCGAUGAUUACGACCAUUCAAAUUCAUUUUUCCAUUAGCUGGAGUAGGAAGGGGGCUGACGUCGAUAAGUUAUUAUAUAUAAAAGAUAAUUAAGGCAUUAGGAAUCUGGGUGAUCACGCGCUUCACGUGGUAUUUAUUAGGAUUAGGACUGAGAAAAAUUACCGCUUAUUUCAGACAGCCCGGACCAUCGCUUUUAUCGUCAACAGAGAGAGCCGCUCGAUAAAGGAAGUCGGCUUAGGUGAUCACACGCUUCACGUGGUAUUUAUUAGGAUUAGGACUGAGAAAAACUACCGCUUAUUUCAGACAGCCCGGACCAUCACUUUUAGCGUUAACAGAGAGAGCCGCUCGAUAAAGGAAGGCAGCUUUGGGAAAAAAUCAUUCCUUUGCCGGGCGCAAGUCAAAGUAGUAAAAAAGGGCAACUGGGAAAGUAGCGAGCAGGAGCACUGUUGGGCUUUGUGGUCGUUAACGGGAACAAAUGAAGAGGAGCACAGCAUCCUACGCACUCAAUUGGCUAAUCAAAGUUAAAGCGGACAGCUUCUUUUGAAUGGGUCACCAAUAGAACUGUCGGUUCUUCAAAAUCUAACAUCGGGACCACCUUUAAAGUUACCCGGUCUUGUUCCAAAUCAGCCGUUCAUUCAACACUGCUGCAACCUCUGCACGCGUUAGUCGACGGCAGAAGUGCUUUUUCAGUUUGUUAUGCGUUCCAACCCAUGGACUUGGUAGCAGGAGGUUCGGACGAUGGUUGUGUCCUGAACCCAGUCAGCGGCACAUCUCCUAUCUCCUAAAGAAGCGGCUGAACAGCUGCGAGCCACUUGCUUCCUGGAGAACGGCGGGAGAGGCUAGGCGAGACUUAAAGGCUGUAGCGAACAACCAUCUGGUAAGAGGUUUUUCCAGAAAGCAAAAACCCGAAGGUUAGCCUUGCAUGAACUAGGGAAAGAUAGAACUCAACUUCACACUGGUUAGCAAAACCCUAGAGCUUCCCUGCUUCGGUAGAACCUUCUACUUUACCAAGUAAAAAGUUUAAGCUGGGACACCACGUCGAUUAACUUUGCAUUCCGCCAUCACAUAUUCCACUUCCUUCGACAAGGAAGUCGUCAUCCUUUCCGGUGGCCUCUUGGGAACGCCUCUUGUAGGGUCUUCCAUGUCUGGAUGGUAUGUCUUUAGACACCCCACAUGGAAGACAGGGUGGAUCUUUAGCUUGGAAAGAAGCUGAAGUUUUUAGGCAACUUGUCCUACUUUCUCUAUGAUGGGGAAUGUCCCCUCAUACUUGCGGCUGACACCCUUACUAAAAAAGAAGGAAAGAUUUUUUGCAAUAGUGGAUUUUUUUUUUUUCUCAUCCUUCACUUGCGGCUGACACCCUUACUAAAAAAUAAGGAAAUAUUUUUUUACAACAGUGGAUUUUUUUUUUCUCAUCCUUCAGCUUGGAAAUUCAGUUUCAUGAUUGAGUUUCCCCUUUCUUGUACAGAUGCUGGGGAUCCAGCCCUCAUAGGAAAUUUCCUAUGAGAUCGCAUUCCAUCGAUUUUUUAAGAUUGGAGGGCUCCCUCUAGUGCUAAAUAAAAAAGAUCUUUGAGCAAGGGAUAGCUUUUCAACAGGCGAAGAAAGGCCUCACCAAACACUUCAUGCCCAAAGGAAGAAGCAAAUGAGCAAUCGAGCCACGAGGAAACGAAUAGUGAUGCAAGUCUUCAUCAAAGCUCACACGCUAAGUUUGGAACCCUUACCCUUUCCUGCGAAAACCAAAGCAUCAAAGACAUCGGCCACCUAGUAAAAAACCGACAGUCGAUGAAGAAAAAUGCUUCAAUUAUGGACAUCCCAGUGGGUAAUCUAGCCAUGAGGAAACGGAUAGUGAUGCAAGUCCUCAUCAAAGCUCACACUCUAAGUUUGGAACCCUUAACCUUUGCUGCGAAAACCAAAGCAUCAAAGACAUCGGCCACCUAGUAAAAAACCGACAGUCGAUGAAGAAAAAUGCUUCAAUUAUGGACAUCCCAGUGGGCCCCCUCACAUCAGGUUUUCGAGAAAGAAGAAAUAAGAAUUGCUUUUAACUUCCUAUCGGCCCUCUUCUCUGUUCUAGGUCCUUUCCUCACUGAGGACCAUGGGCCAAUAACUUCAGAUACAAAGCAUGAUUUUUCCAAGACGUGCAAGGCGCCCCCCAGCCUUCCAACGGGAAAGACUUCAACAUAAAAGUAAAUUUCCGUUCUUCCUGUUCCCGCGGCAGACGUAUGCUCGGUUGAAGCCCCCCAGCCUUCCAACGAGAAAGGCGUCAAUAUAAAGUUAAUUUCUGUUCCUCCUGUUCCCGCGGCAGACGUAUGCUCGGUUGAAGCUGGAUUUAGAAAGGAUCGGAAGCGGUGCAUAUAUGACAUUUUAAGGACAAGAAAUAUUGGACUAGACUAUUCCUUAUGUAGAUGUAGUGGAUAAGCUCUCCGUGUUGGGAUAGGCGUUCGGAUUUCCACAGCUAUUCUAAGAGCGUGCUGAAUCCAACCGUUGCACGUUCCCCCUUUGGCUAAACCACCACUUCAGGCUAACCCUUUUGCCUGGCUGGCACUUACUCAAGUUAGAGUUUUGCGCUCUCUCAAAACGCCUGCACGCCUGCGAAAAGAAAACCCUUUUGCCUGGCUAGCACUUACUUAAGUUAGAGUUUUGCGCUCUCUCAAAACGCCUGCACGACUGCGAGUGUUCUCCCCGAUCCUACAAAUUGAGCUUCCGAAAGGGGUGCUUGCUGGAGCAGCUCAACGAGAUCUGGGUUCAAUUCUCGCUAUGCCUCAUCCUAGUGGGUAUCUGCGCCAUUAGGCCAGCUAAAAUUGCUCUGAUCUAGUGUGAAUCCGCUCCUGUUCGGGCUCACUCAGCAAAAAGCUAACUCUCUUCUCCUGCUUUAGCUUGAGCCCACCCGGACAUACUCUAGCAUGACACCCGUCACCAUACAUAGGUAAUACCAUGUCCAAAUGCUAUCUUCCUCGAAGUUUCUGCUCAAUAUGCUCUUGUUUUUGGGGGGAGGAUCCACUACAUGGACCAACGGAGCACUGUCGGGUCGAUAGCCCUUGAUCCGGGAUCUAUUUUUAACAAAAAAUAGUUGGAUUUGCCAGCCUUAGCUGAAGAAAACUGUUCGUAUAGUAGUAGGUUUGAGAACCUGUUCAAACCAUCUCAUAGGUCGUCCGCAGUACAAAAGGUCAAUUUAAUUGCGAUACUAAGCUUCCUUUUACGCCGUGGAAUGAACCAUUACUCAAAGACAGUAGGCAAGGCACUAUAAGGAAGUGAAGUAGGGUCGGUAGAUAUAGGCUUCUCUUCUAUUGAAUAAGUGGACUCCCCCCUUUCACUUGAGCAUUGAAUUGACUCUUCUUCGAUAGCUUUCAAGCGGUGAACCCGAUCCAAUUUGUUUUAUAGUCGUAUCUUAUUGGCUUGAGAUUCUCCAUUGAGUGUUUCGUACUUACGACUUGGAUGAACUUUCAUAAUAUCUGUAAGGGCUCGAAUGGCGUGAGCCGCAUGCGGGGAGACCCGCACGUACGGUUUUUAGGGGGAUCUGGUCGAAAAACCGGCCGGCGCCCACCCGACUAGAGGGACUGAGAAAUUAAUUGAGUAAAAAACUUAUCUUCAACGCAUAGCUUUUUGGUUGAUAUUCAUGUCAAAACCACCAAACAGAGUUGUUGCUUAACUUCUUGUGAAGCAACCUAGCUGUCGGCUACAGAGACGACAACCUCGUCAAAGAGGCAAGCUUUGCUCUGAUACCAUGUAAUCAGAGAGGAUAACUUGUUGUAUUUCUAUUCAUGAAUACAUGAGAUUUAUACACUUAUACAAGACUCUAUCAAAGGAAACAUAAUCAAACAAAAUAAAGGAAAAUAUCUUAAGGAUCGGCUUCUAUAACUGAAUCACCAAUCUUUGCAAAGUAAUCUAUUUAUAUCUCACUAAUUAUUUUGUAAUAAAUGCUAGCAAAGCAUAAAAGAAUAGUACAUUAGGCGGCACUUUCUUCAUUAACGGUCUUAUGCAUCAACCGUAGAGGUGCACAUGGACAUGGUUGGUUCAGAUUUUAUCAAAUUCAAAUAGAACCUUUCUUCAUUAACUGUCUUAUGCAUCAACCGUAGAGGUGCACGUGGAAUUGUUCAGAUUUUAUCAAAUUUGGAUUGGUUCGGUUUUAUUGGGUAUUUGGAUUUUUUUGAUACAUGAACUUUAUUUCAAUCUUACUUUGUGAAGAUUAUCCAUAAAUUUUGAUAAGUGAAUAUAUGUUUACUAAAAUUUAAAAAAUUGACAAACAUAUGAUCUAUUUAAAAUUCUUAUUAGAGAAUAUUUCAGUAACACAUGAUAGUUAUUUUCUUAGUCAUCUAAUAACAAUUUUUUGUUGAUGUAUGCUUUCAAGGGUAUCUGAAUUUAAUAAUUAAAUAUACAAAUCAAUAUCCGAAUUUUUUGGCCUCGACUCUCUAUUAGUCGAGGCCAAAAGUAGGUCUUAACAUGGAAUGACAAACAAGAAAAAGAGAAAACUAUUAUAUAUUGGCACUCUUUCCGUCGCAAUUUAUGUGAUGGUAUUCUAAUUUCGAGAAUCAAAUAAAUUAUCGUUUGACCAUAAGUUUUUCAUAUGUCUUUUAAUAGCAUUACAAAACCAACACACAUAAAAACAACAUAGGCAAGAAAAUGAAUACGAUAAGUUUUCUCAGGCUUCUAUGUCACGACCCAAAUCGAAGGGCCGCGACGGGCACCGGGUGCCUUACACGACCGUGUACCAACAUAACAUAACUUUCUUAUUAUACUAUUAUUGGUAAAACAGAACAAACACACAUAAAAACAACAUAGGCGAGAAAAAGAAUACGAUAAGUUUUCUUAGGCUUCUAUGUCACGGCCCAAAUCGAAGGGCCGCGACGGGCACCGGGUGCCUUACUCGACCGAGUACCAACAUAUCAUAUCUUUCUUAUUAUACUAUUAUUGGUAAGUGAGCUAGAAAAUCUGACAAGAGAUAACAAGAAUAAAACAUAAGGGAAUGCUCAACAUAUGACGACCAAACAUGAUAUACAAACUUAUACAUGUGACAUACGGGCCAGAGAUAACAAGAAUAAAACAUAAGGGAAUACUCAACAUAUGACGACCAAACAUGAUAUACAAACUUAGACAUGUAACAUACGGGCCUAUAAGGCCGACAUGACCAUUUGAAAUCUGAAAACAUAGGCCGACAAGGCCAUAUAUGUAUCUGUAUACAUGACAUCUGUCUAGAUUAAGACUGCAUAAUAUCAUAAAAGGUUGGGACAAGGUCCACGAUACCAAUCAAUACAUGUACUAAUUAUACUGACCAAAGAAGCAACUCCAAUGCAAAUAGAGCGCACCAACACCUUUUGCUAAGCUGAUAGCCUACUUGGAGGACUCUCAGCCUUUCAAUCAAGACCCACGAUCAUGAAACGCAGAAUCCCUGGCAUAAAGGACGUCGGUACGAAUAAUGUACCGAGUAUGUAAGGCAGGAAAACAUAAACAAGAACAGUAAUGUAAAGAGGGAUAGAGGAGAUACAACCUAUAACAUCUAGGUGCCUCUAGGGCUACUGACAUGAAAUGCAACAUACAUAUAUAUAUAUAUAUAUAUAUGUAUGUAUAUAUAUAUAUAUAUAUAUANNNNNNNNNNNNNNNNNNNNNNNNNNNNNNNNNNNNNNNNNNNNNNNNNNNNNNNNNNNNNNNNNNNNNNNNNNAUAUUUAUAUAUAUAUAUAUAUAUAUAUAUAUACAUACAUAUUUAUAUAUAUAUAUAUAUAUAUAUAUAUAUAUAUACUUUUAACAAUAAACGUGUGGUCAUCAUCGUCAUCAUCAUCAUAUCGUACCCUGCCUCAAAGAAGACUCAAUAAAAACAUACCUGGCCAUCAUAAGGCUCGGUUGAAUUACCCGGCCAUGUGGAGCUUAGCAAAACCCAACUGAUCAGUGGUUGCACAAUAUGUGUCGCACCUUGCUGACUAUGGUGCAGCUUGGUAGAGUAAAAUAGAUACAUAUAUAUAAUACAUGUAGGACUAAUUGGAAUCAUAUUCUGAUCCUUUUAGAGGGACAUAAGGUCAAUAUUCUCCGUACACGUUAUUAGGAAUAAUCCUUCAUCAAGAAUUUUAUAAGAAUCAGGAAGUACCAAAAACAUCGAUAACAUAAGAAUAAGAAUAAAGAAGAAACCUCAACAUCCGUUGUUCCAUACGAAAGGAAACAAUGUAAGUACUGCUAGCUUCAUUGGAUUAUGUACAAUCGAGGUCAUGCAAAAAAAGGAAAAGUAUAGCCUCACAUACCUUGUAUAUACUGCCAAUCCUCAGGCUAUGCAAAUGUCAUGACUCCUUAGUGUACAAUAGGAGAAAUUACACUAUCGGUAAUGUUUAACCGUCAUAACUAUAAUGUACCGACCACAACCGAUUUUAUGAUGAAAUAGAUAUAAACAGUCAAGUUACAACUCGUACAAGCAUAGAUAAUGAAAGGAGAAGCACAAACUUACCUUGGACUGAGUAGAACCACGAAACCUAGUCCUUCUCCAUCUAAAAAUCAGUCCCCCAACAGAACUAUAUUAUGGAGAAAGAGAAACUAGCUAGAUGUCCGAACUUUUCGGCGCUAGAAUCGCAUCGUAACAUCCUUGGGUUUAUGUGAAAUCUUUUUGUGGGGAGAAGUUACAGCGGUGAAAUUUUAUUCUCAUGGUUUGAAAGAUGAGAGAAUUAUAUGAGUUUAUAAGCCCUUAUAUGUCCCCUCUUUUCCGACUUUGGGGUUUUUAAUUUUGUCCACUCCUUUUGGCAAGUAGGUGAUGCACCGGCUUGUCACCUACUAAUCUAUGCUGGCUCGUAAAAAUUUAAUAAUCUCUUUACUCAGAUACCGUAUAGAUGAAUGGUUAAAUGCACUAAAAACUAGACUCAUAGAUCUGUAAUUUGGUAUGUAUAUAAUGCCUUUGUUCCAAGUAUGUUGGGAGAAAAGUACAUCUACAUUUUACCUAAAUUUCAGCAUAUUAUGAAUGCAACUUGUGAUGACCUUUGUCAACGUUUUGUUCCACAACACGCUUGACUUAAAAACAUAACACAUUAAUAUCAUACAUUUUGCCAACGUUUGGUUCCAGAACACGCUUGACUUAAAAAUAUAACACAUUAAUAUCAUACAACUAAAAUAACUCAUAACUUAACCUCCUCAUCAGGUUAAUAAUCCUAGUCUCACCCCAAAAGUAUAUGUUAUAAUAUUCCAAACUUGUGGACUUUCGAUGAAACUUAUUUUCUUCAAUACAUUUAGUGUCUAAAAUACAUAACUACAACAGUUUAAUUAAGCCAGGUGUGAUAAAGCAACCAUAUUAAAACCACAGAAUUCAGGAGUGCUUAACACCUUCUCCCGGAUUAAUAGAAUUCCUUACCCGACUUUUUGGUUCCUGCUUUCGAUGAAACUUAUUUUCUUCAAUACAUUUAGUGUCUAAAAUACAUAACUAAAAUAGUUAAUUAACCCAGGUAUGAUAAAGCAACCAUACUAAAACCAUAGAAUUUAGGAGUUCUUAACACCUUACCCCGGAUUAAUAGAUUUCCUUACCCGACUUUUUGGUUUUGCGGAUUUUAAAUAGAGUCAAUUUCCUUGAAUUGGAAUUUUUAAGUAAAUGGUGAUUUGGGACACCGUAAAAAUUUAUUUCAAGUGGCGACUAUUUAAAUUAAAAUAAAUUAAUCCCUUUCAGAUAAUGUCACUUGAAUUGGAAAAACUCUUUUUUUUUCUAUCUCCUCGAAAAAUUCCAAGUGGCGACUCUUUUAAUUAAAAUAAAUUAAUCCCUUUCAAAUAAUGUCACUUCAAUUGGAAAAACUCUUUUUUUUUUCUCUCUCCUCGAAAAAAGGAGGUGUGACACAUAUGACGACUCUGCUAGGGAUAACAAGAACUCUAGCUUGAUGUAUUAUUGUAUUUUUUGGCCUAAUCUGCUAAUUGCCGCUUAUUUACCACUUUGAUAUUAUUUGAAUUGUAUUAAACUAUCUUCUUAUGCCUCCGUCCUAUGUCUUCUGAAUUUAUGGUGCACACGUGGUCGUGGCCCACUUUUCUGUUAGAAGUCAUACCAAUUAGAAUGAGGCUGGGUCAAUUAACUAGGCCGGGUAGACUUUCGUGCUCCUGCUACGUUGCCCCCAUCUCGGCUCAAGCUGUCUGCUUGAGUAAGCCCUGUCUAAAAUACUCCCCCGAGGAUUUAAACCUAGAAUAACAUAACCUCAUAUUGGAUCCCUAGUAGAAACAUUUGUUUCCAUCAUGUGUAUCUGACAUUUGGAACUCAACACAGGGGUUGGGUCCGUCUAGGUCAUGUUUACUUGAGAAUUGCAAGACCAUCGUGAUGCAUCUUAUGUGUUACUUGUGUAUUAUGGGAAAACUACAAGGGAGGAAAUUUACCCAGUUCAUGAAAAAUCUCAAUGUUUACCCCCAAAAAGAUUAUUACAAAAUAAGCCUAAAUUUUUCAACAAAAGAAGUGUCAUCUAUUCCUAUAACAUGUACGAACUACGCGGGUCUGAACUACGCGGGUCUGAUUCUCACCAGAUGUGAGAUACAUAGGCAACCUCCAUAGGGUUCGGACCCAUCUUGCAAAAAUAAUAUUUUUAAAUAAAGGGGAAAUAUGUCUAGUUUUUUUUAUCCAAAAAAAAUAAGCAAAUGCAGUUUCGGCUAAUCCUCAACCGUCUUUGUUGGAAUAUCUUUAGAACGUCUUCAAAAUUGUCGAGGGCUAUUCUCGCAAGAAUUGACAAGUCCGUCAAUUAGGCAUCACUUAUACCGUCAUGCUCAUCCCGACCCUAAAGUUAUCUUUGGAUGUAUGAAGGGGCCAUAAUUUAAAAAAUCCACCAUCUCAUUGAUUUUUCUUAAAAUAGAGUUAUCUACAAAAGAUUGUUUAAAAAAUUAGUGUAUUGAUUUUGUCUUUUGAGGCUAGUGUCAACCCUAACCUUAAUCACCUACAGGUACGAAAUGAGCACUAUCCAGAACACACCAUUGAUGGUAGUAGAUGAGUUUCUACUUCAGCUUCAGAUGUGGUGGUAUGACUUAGGAGAAGAUGGUCAGGAAUGGGUCACUAAGUAUCUGGAAGCCCGUACAAAUAUUAUGAAAGUUACACCACCUCGAAUGGCGUGAGCCGCAUGCCGAGAGACCCGCACGUACGGUUUUUAGGGGGAUCUUGUCGAAAAACCGGCUGGCGCCAACCCGACAAGAGGGACUGAGAGAUUAAUUGAGUACAAAACUUAUCUUCAAGCUUUACCUUAUUCUGAUCGUUCAGAGUGCGAUCGCGAGUCACUGAAUGAAGUCCUCCGUUUCUUUCGGAGGUGCUGACCCGUAGCGAGGCAGAGAUGACUAAGUGACAUAUGGAAUAUGGAGACGACAACAGCAUGUCGUAGAAGGAGAUAACAGGUGGAUCCAACGACCCACUAACACUAACGUAUCAACAACUACAUCCCCGAGGGGCAGUCAAACGGGGGCGUGAAUGCGAGAUGCCAGCGGAAUGAUCGGCCGUACAGAGGCUAGGGCUGCUUCCUUCCCACCGCGUCCUUCCUUGUGUGUCGGAGAUAUAAAGCGAGUGCACCGGAAAAGAACGGGAACUGGAUCGAUCUAUUCUAUGGUGAAGCAUCCGAAGCAUAACUGCACACUCACACGAUCUUUGCCGAGAGAUAGGAGCAUUCGGUGGAACCGGUGAACUACACUUGCUUCAGAAAACAAUGGGAACUGGAUCGAUCUAUUCUAUGGUGAAGCAUCCGAAGCAUAAGUGCACACUCACACGAUCAUUGCCGAGAGAUAGGAGCAUUCGGUGGAACCGAUGAACUACACUUGCUUCUUGAUAGAUGUGUGGGACAGAGGGCUCAUGGUACCUGCUGCCCACCCUUCCUCCUCUGCUUUGAGAACCGUGUCAACGGAGAGUGGGGAGAAGAGAAGGAGGUCCUCAUACAGAGUCGCACACUUACUUGAGCACUGCGAGAGACUGGGGAAUGGGUCGAAUAAACUCCCAUGGGGUCGGAAAAAUAAUAGACGAAGCUUUACUUAGAUAGGGCUUUGAUUGGAUUUUUUUAUUAGUGAUUGGAAAGGAGGGUGCUUGGGUAUGUUAUAGAAAGGGAAGGCGGAAGCAUCAAAUGGCGAAGAGAGGCGGCUCGGUAGGGAAGGAAAGGGAAAUCGUCAAGGAUGACUUCUUUGUUGGCGGAACGUAGGGCUAAAUAGCGAGAGAGAUUCUCUGAGCCGGUCUGGAUUUCCAAUGCCUCGGGAAACUGGUCGAGAUAGAUGACUGUACCUUUUUCCCAUCUUCCUUACCGGUAGGGCAAUCUUCUCUUAUGGCCUUCACCCCCCGCCCGGAAAUAGAGAACCAAGCCCCUUUCUGAUCCAUUCAUUUCUGCAAGCAGGGAGGAUCCAGAGCGUUGCCCCCUCCUAUUCGAGGUUUUUCCUCGCCCCACAAGCACCCAACCUUCCUUUUGCUCUUCCUUCGGUUUUCCUCUACGAACGCGCCACUUAGAAUCCCUACUCAUAUUCCAAAGGCGCUACUUCAAUUCAAGUGCAAGCCCCCCUUCUAUUGCAUAACUUAAAAAAGCUAUAAACAAAGUACCAAAGUGGUUGAGGGAACGAUACGCUUUGGUUACCGGUGAAGGAUUCCAAAGGCGACCAGCUUUCCAUACUAGUUGUUACCUUACGCUGCCAUUUUCCAAUAUUAUUGAAUAUUAUGGCCCGGGGCCAAGAUAACUCAAGUGGGAGAGCCGUGUUAUGGGUGACCUUAUUGCACAGUUCAAAGAGCACUUGUGUAUGUGAUGCAAGUGAACGUCUACGAAAAAGUUGUCAUAAAGUUUCGUUCUUUGUUCCGUCGUCGACCCUAUCAAUGCUUCUAUGAUGGUCCAAGAACACGCUCAUUCUUCAGCCGUAGAGAGACUUUUGAAUUGCGAGGUACCAUUACGAGCUCAAUAUAUACGAGUGUUAUUCCGUGAAAUAACUCGAAUUUCAAAUCAUUCACUUGCUUUAACUACUCAUUCUUCAGCCGUAGAGAGACUUUUGAAUUGCGAGGUACCAUUACGAGCUCAAUAUAUAAUAGUGUCAUUCCGUGAAAUAACUCGAAUUUCAAAUCAUUCACUUGCUUUAACUACUUAUGUUAUGGAUGUAGGAGCAUCAACUCCGUUCCUGUGGGCUUUUGAGGAGCGGGAGAAAUUGUUGGAAUUCUAUGAAAGAGUCUCGGGAGCCAGGAUGCAUGCCAGUUUCAUACGACCAGGUGGAGUGGCACAAGAUAUGCCUCUUGGCUUAUGCAUAGAUAUUGAUUCGUUCACACAACAAUUUGCUUCUCGUAUCGACGAAUUAGAAGAUAUAUCAACCAGCAACCGUAUCUAGAAACAACGAUUAGUGGAUAUUGGUACUGUCACUGCCCAGCAAGCAAAGGAUUGGGGAUUCGGUGGUGUAAUGAUAAAAGGUUCUGGGGUAUGAUGGGAUUUGCGAAAAGCAGCACUUUACGAUGUUCAUGACCAAUUGGAUCCUGACAUACCAGUAGGUACCAUAGGAGAUGACACGCUGGAGUUGGCUUCUGGCACAACAAGGUGAUGCCUUAUCGCACCGUAGGCGAACGCAGUAGCGUUCGUGGUGGUGCUUCAGGAUUCCAAUGUACUGCGUCCAAGAUCAGAACAAGCUUGCCGGCGGACCACUGCCGUCCCAUUAUUGAGUGAGCUGGAGCGCAGCCAUCUUAUCCACUGAACUAGCUAGAAGCUAUCGCUUCGGGUCGAAGCACUAAAAGAAAAGGACCGGGAAACGCGGCGGCAUAGGAACCACGGGACCCCCUACUAGUAAAGGGAAAAUGGAAGUGCGCUCCUGCGCACCAGCUGAAAAGGCCCUUUCCCUUUUUAAUAAUAUAAGGUAAGCUUUUGGGACCGCUUACUAGUAAAUGGAAAAUAUAAGUGCACUCCUGCGCACCAGCUGAAAAGGCCCUUUACCCUUUUAACAAUAUAAGGUAAGCUUUAUAGCUCGAACCUAGUCAAGGGGCUUUGAUGCCCUUUGUCUAGGUUGGGUCAUUGGAUAUGGGAUCCUCGUAGAAGGCUGGACCAAGAUCCAGCCGAGAGAGGGCAGUCUUUAGAAACAACAGUUUGGGAAAGCAAGAGAACGCUUCGCGUUUUCUUAUCUUCUUCCCGCCCUAGAAGUAGCACAAGAAGAUGGAUUAGCAUUAUUGACCCAAUUAUAAAGCACAAACACCUUCCUCGUUGGGCCUCCACGCACUGGGAAGAGGCUGACGCGAUGGGAAAUCUGCCACUAGUUACAAAGCUCCAAUAAGGUAUCGAGAGGGCUAUCACAGUCAGGUGCGAAUUGAUUACCCCAAUUUGUAAACUACCCCUCUUCCUAUUUAGGGAGUUGAGGCGAAAAAUGGCUUGAUGAACCGUUCGCCACGCACCGGCCACAUUCACUUGCUAAAUUUUUAAACUACCCAUCUUCCUAUUUAGGGAGUUGAGGCGAAAAAUGGCAUGAUGAACUGUUCGCCACGCACCGACCACAUUCACUUGCUUAUCGUAGAGGCUGUGAGUACAUAAUGCCCCACAAGUAGGCUGCUUUUUCCGGAACGCAGUCCGAGAUAACCGUAACCGUGUAUAAAUAGAAAUAUGUCUUCCAUGCUAUCAUUUCGAAAUGUCCGCUUCAACCUCUGUUUCACCUCCCAAAGAGCAAAGUUGGCUUGAUGAGCACAGAUGAGGAAGCGUGAGCAAGAAAACCAAUAAUCUCUUUCUUGUCCUUCUACUUAAGGUUAAGGGGCAAAGAGAAGCGCUUUUGCUACUGAGAAAGCGAACGGUCAGCAUGAAGGUUCAAGACUUAGCCGAGCGUUAGCGAAGCUAGAUUCUCAUAGCGAGGCGCUUCGAGUUAGCGAAGCGCUGUAGUAGCUUCGAAGCCCUAUGUGCUAUUAUGCUGCACCAAGGACACUCCACCUUCUCUAUAGAAGCAGUCAACUGAGUUCUGAACGAAUUAGCUACUUGGUAAUGGCUUAAUCUAUAUAUAGAAAGCCCGAUGAUGGGAAACUACCAUGUUAGGUUGGGAGAGAGAUGGGACCUGUUAUAUAAUAGGGGAAGCAGAUGCAAGCUUUUUCUUUCAAUAGCCGGCCAAAUGACUAAAGGAUCAUCGGUCUACUCUACCUCAAUUCACCAUUUUGAACCUUAUACAGAAGGUUUUUCCGUACCAGCUCCUUCUACCUGUACCACAGUUGAAGCACCUAAUGGAGAAUUUGGUGUCUUUCUUGUCAGUAAUGGAAGCAAUCGUCCCUACCGUCGUAAAAUAAGAGCACCUGGCUUUGCCUAUUCACAAGGACUCAAUUAUAUGUCCAAACAUCACAUGCCAGCAGAUGUGGUCACCAUCAUAGGUACUCAAGAUAUUGUGUCUGGAGAGGUGGAUAGAUAGGACUACUAGUUGCUCGAUCAGGACCCUAGCUUUAUUGCGAGCCAAAAACCCAAUUUAUACGCCCUCUUUCUUUAUUUAAGGAGAUUCUAUCAAAUUAUCCGCCCCGAUGCAGAAAGGAAUAAAGAAAGAAGAGUUGAAGACGGCUUAACAGUAAGAGAGAACCCUCUCAUCUCAUGGCUAGGAACAUCUAUGUAGAUGGGAUUGGAUUCAUUGUGCCAGUUAGGGGUAGGUAUAAACCUUCAUUCAUCUUCUUCUAUCUUCCUUGGAAUAUCCAUCAUCUUGGUCUCGACCUUGUUGAGCUCUCCCUGAUCGAAAGUUCCUAUUUUGCUGCCUCUUCGAUCGUCUCCGACUCCCUAAAAAAUAAGAGUACUUGGUGACCUAGAUGGUAAGGUUCUUUUCUUACCUUAGCUGAGCCUUAUGUCCCUUCAACAUCCCUAUUCCUCUUGCCUUGUCUUGGGCACCGCAGUGGACUGAUUAUCCUAUAUGUAAUAUCUACCCUAAAGAUUAAGAGGAUAGAGGGUCUCCCUUCCAUAGAUUUUAUUGGGAUUGAUUCUCAGGAUCGAGCCCUUAUCAGAGGUGUGCCUACCGACACCUAUCAAAGUCUUCGGCUUGCACGAUGUCUCCUUCCAUUUGCUCCAGCUAUAAAAGAAAAGAAUGGGGGCAACACUUUAUUCUCUUCUGCCACUCUUUGUUUACUUCUGGCCUUCCCGAACUCCUAGAUGGGCGGAGUCAGAUCUUGGAAUAAGCUCCUUUCCAUGGGCAAUCUACUCAAGAGCUUAGGCCCCUAAUUUGGUCUAUGUCUAGGCUGCUGCUGUACUCAAAGGCGAGGGGCUCCAAAAGCGGAUGCGAUCAUCCUUAGAGGAGAGGGGAGGCAACUUGGGAUUCUAGGCAAAGUGCUUUUUUUGUAAAUAGGCCUUCGUAUAGGAUAGGAUUUUCAUUCCUCCCGCCAAAGCUAGAAAAGAAAGGAGCUCUCUCUUUUUUCCAGCCUUCUUUUUAUUUUGAAGGAAUAUAGUGCGUUCUCGCUUUCAGCGGGAAUUCAAGUCAAAAUUUUGUACAAGGAGGAAGGGCCUUCUUUUUAUUUUAAAGGUAUAUAGUGCGUUCUUGCUUUCAGGGGGAAUUCAAGACAAAAUCUUAAUACAAGGAGGAAGCGAAAGGCUAUCUACCAGGUAUGAUAUAGAGUAUGACUAUAAAAAAUCAUAGAGCAUUAUGGAGCAUGCCCAUCCCAUUUGAGCUUCCCCUUUCCUAAGAUCCUGGACGUGGUACUGACGCAUGAACUUGGUUACUAGUUUGACCGCUUUGUUGGCAUAUCAAGUAAGGAAAGGUCUGUUCAUUUGUCCAGAAAUAUGUUUUCGGCCUAUCUAUCGAUUGAACCAGGGGCUGGGCUACCGGUCCUACCCCGGCUUAUUACGAUAGGACCUUCCCUUAUCCCGGAUGACUUGAGCUUGUCUUGGCUCUUUUCUUGGACAACUAGGACUUUGCUUAGACUGUUUGGCACGCUUAGCUUUCGAUCGAGAAAGACGGGAAAUUGUGAAAGCGGGCUUAUUCCCCCAUGUCUUACCUAUAAAAAAAGGAAGGAACUUAUUAGCAAAGAUGGCUUGCUUGCAUACCUUCUCCGAGAUAUGGAAAGGGGGUUCAGAUUCAUGCUGGCAUUAAAUGAAGCGCUUUUAGCACACACCUAAACAAUCGUGUACUUGGGAGCCCCGAGACAUUCUUAUAGAUACAGAGUUCUCGUACUGCUAAGGGAGGAAUACACUUUACCAAGGAUCUACUUAACUAGCAAAUGAGCAUUUCAUACUUUCCCACGCUACUUCCAAGUCCAAUAUAGGUCUUUCCAGUAAAAGGAGGUCGUGUACCAUAGUUUGAGUUAAAAAGAAGAAAGGGGUUGCGAUAGAAAGAAAGGGCACAAGAGAAGAAAGAUACGACAUUCGUUGGAACAAAAGAGAGCAACAAAAAACAAGUUAAGCAAAGAUCUGGUUGAUUCCAUUCGUCAUUCACUAAGGGAAAUGACUCUCGAUUGAGAAAAAACUUGCCACCUUUUUUGUAUCCAUUUCGCGGAUUAGGUUCCAAGCGAAAGAUACCAAAAGAAAGGGAGCGCGCUAUAGGACACUAGCUGGCCUUUACUUGGGCCCAUCCCAAGCUCCCUGCUAAAUUUAGGUUCCAAGCGAAAUAUACCAAAAGAAAGGGAGCGUGCAAUACGACACUAGCUGGCCUUUACUUGGGCCCAUCCCAAGCGAAAUAUACCAAAAGAAAGGGAGCGCGCAUCACUUGACUGUUUCGUUUGUUUGAUCAAGCGGAUUGAUAGCGGAUCGAAGGGAGUGCGAUAGGGCAUCAACUAUCCGGGUUGGUGCCGGACUCCUUUGUGAAUCAGUCCCUUUCCUUGUAUUGUUCGGUUAGUUGAUCGAGAAAGCGGCAGGACCGUAAAGCUUAGCCUUGAGUUGGACUGCGGUCCCGCGAAGCUGGUAUCCUCAGACCGCCUAAGAGACUUUCCGACUGUCGAAGGAAGGAAGUUCACUUUUUAGUGACCAGAAAUUGACUAGUUUAUUUAAUUGACUUAAAGAUCUUUCUUUAUAUUUUACUAGUUAAGGCCUUCGAUCAUCUGUCGGUGAGGUCGAUCGAAAAAGUGAAAGCUUCAUCUAUCGGUGAGGUCGAUCGAAAAAGUGAACUUGAUGAAACCCCGACUUUUUACCAUCAACCACUUUUUCCCAUCACAAGUAAUGUUAUGAACUUUCACUCCCAAUCUAUACUAGAACCUCGAGCCUCUUUCUUCUUUCUGUGCUGCAGGCGUUGAUUGAUGGGAUAAAUGAAGCACGAUGUGGAAUCGAACCACAAUCUUUUUCCUUACAUGGCUAAGUCGAGAGUGAAAAUCUAGACUCAAAAGCAUACGCUUGUUAGAAGUGAUCCCCGCCUCCCCUUUUUGUCUAACCCAUUCGUUCACAGCUUCGCCACUCUACCGAGGGUCGAGCUACCACGCUCUUGAAACCUCGUAAAUUCGCUUUUCUUCAAUGAGAAUAUAAAGAAAACAUUCGUUCACAGCUUCGCCACUCUACCGAGGGUCGAGCUACCACGCUCUUGAAACCUUGUAAAUCGCUUUUCUGCAACGAGAAUAUAAAUAAAACUAGCAAUUUCGCUCAAGUAAGUCGGCUGUAAGUGGUCGUGCUCUCGCUACCAGAAGCUUGGCAGCGACAAAACGCAGUUCCACCCCUAACUAGAUUGCGCCUUUGAGGUUUUGAAAGGCGUGAAAGUUCGAGUCUAGGGACGAAGUGGCUUAGUUGAACAUAGUGAGACUAAGGGACGAAAGGUCAAACCCAGAAAUGUGCAAGCGAGACCCAGCAAAAAAACUUUUUCGCGCGAAAGCCGUUGCUUGUUCCAUAAUUUGCUGGGAUGGGAAGUAUAGAUAGAAAGGCAGAAAAGGAGGCGUCGGCUCGGCAAGCGAGACCCAGUAAAAAAACUUUUUCGCGCGAAAGUUAUUGCUUGUUCCAUAAAUUGCUGGGAUGGGAAGUAUAGAUAGAAAGGCGGAAAAGGAGGCGUCGGCUCUGAAAUGAUGGAAGAUUGAAUCAUCCCUUCAUUCUAUUCCGGCUAUUCCAUUCCGGAGAGUGAUAUAUUCAUGAGCUAGAGAGAUAAGAGUUUCGAUUCGCAGGCUGGAUAUAGAAAUUGUGCCCUAUCUAUGUAUAGUAGUUUCUAGCUCUGCAACUAAACUAAAGGCUCUGGAACAUAGUAUAUGCCUUGAACUGGUGAUGCAGAUAAUGCGGUAUCUCUUGGAAUUGGAGCGACUCCUGAUGAAAUUUACCAAGUCAAAGCAAGGGGUUGAAAAAGCACCACAUGGGACGGGAACAACGUCCUGACUAAACAAGAGUUUCUUCAAUAAUGGCUUGGUCGAAAGUCGUAAAGAAGGCACCGGAUAAGCAGCUAACAUAAACUACUACCGUACAGCGCAUCCCGUGGGCGGCCUUCAAAGGCUAUCAUUUGUAGGACGAGACGCUAACCUACGCCCGUACAUUUCAACCUGUCUCCUUGGGACUUAGCUCUGAAGAUGAAUUCCCGGUUAGCCGAUUACCUUGCCCGGUUAGGAGAACAGUUAGAAGUAGGAAAAGAUGCCGACACCGAACAGUUAAAGAAUUCUCCGUCCAAUGAAUUCCCGAUUAGCCGAUUACCUUGCCCGGUUAGGAGAACAGUUAGAAGUUGGAAAAGAGGCCGACACCAAACAGUUAAAGAAUUCUCCGUCGCUUCAAGACUGCCAGCCUAUUCGCUUUGAGCCGAAGCAGACGCUGCCCAUGGAGAGCCUUUUCCUUUGUGAACAUUUGUGUGCCCAUAAUACAUGACAAAAGUUGGGCUUCUAGACGCCUUACAAUAAAUAAGCCCCUCUACCCCCUACUCUAGUCAGCUUCUAUCUCUUUCUCCAACUUUUGAUGAUCCUCCUACAGGCAAAUCAUCGAAGUCAAGAAGAAGUGAUGGGCCUGAUCUUCCGAUAUUGAUAUCUGAUCCCUAAGUUGAGCACCAAAGUCUGGAUUUCUUCCUAAAGCUAAAGUAAGGAAAAGGCCCCGGUCGGUUCUCCCUUUCUUUCCUGGUUAUCUGUUCUCUAGUCGUAUAAUCAUACCAUUCUGCCAUACUAUUUUCAUAAUUCAUUCCACGUGGAAAAUCGUCUAGCUAGGGAACUCUUCAUCAGACGAUUUCUCAUAUGAUUAUUUUCGUGAAUUCGACGUAGAAGAAGUUCGCCUUGCCUCCCUUUAUUAAGUACUGGGCUAAGGGCGGACCCCUAACCUAAGAGUUCUGGUUAUGACCAGCCGAAAGAAGUUCGCCUUGCCUCCCUUUAUUAAUAUGGGCUAAGGGCGGACCCUAACCUAAGAGUUCUAGAUAUGACCAGCCGAAAACAUGCCCUCUAGAUGCCAUAUAAUCGUCCUUUCAGCCUAUUCCCGCUUAUGCGUACUUCAUGGCUGAUAGGCCUACAGACGCUUUACACCCCGGAAUAGCCUUGCUUUCGCGUUCCCCCUCCUUCCGUAGAUUAGGUUAGCACUUAUGCUGCAUCACGCAACUAUAUUCAAUCAAUUGAGUAGAGAGGGCAAUUCAAUCAGUCGUCAUCCUUCGCUCUUGUGCUAAAGGCUCUCUUACCACAGGUUUCCAUUCCAUCCUUUUUCGAAUGGGUAGAUGCUUUUCUCCUCAUAUUUUCUAUUUAGUCGGCACUCGUGUCUGUCGAGUACUUUUAGUGGUCUUGCUCUUCCUUCCUCCAUUGCUGAGGUUAGCUCUGUAUUUUUGUCGUGUACUUUUUCUCUCUUUCCAAUUUGAAGGAUUAAGUCUUCCGCUAACAUAACUAAAAAGAAAGGAAAGCAAGGAAGAGGAUUAAGCUCUGUCCGAGAAGAUCGGGUAUUCAACUUCAUUCAUGCCGAGCGGCAAUAAAUGUACUUUUUUGCCUCGACCGUUCUUCACUUCAGCCUGACAGGCUCCUCAAGGUCAUAUAGCCCAAGUCCUUUGCUUCUUUGUAAUCGGACUGUACUUUCUCUUUCUUAUCUCACCAUUGGUGACAGUGACGAUUCUUUGCAGCGUAGAAGAAGACUUCCGGGCUACCCUGUGAAAUAUGAGGAAAAAACCUUCCAUUGAGAGGACGAAUGUCGCUCCAGAUUUAUAAACACCUCUGCCUGAGAAGGUUGUUGUAAUGCAGGAAGUGGCAUCUUUACCGAGAGUUGAAGUAAUUCUCCCCCAGCCCAAGUUUAGAGAUUUCGUCAACGGGGUCAUGCUCUUUGCGAUAGCAUUGACCGUCAAUCACUUAGCUUUCGACAUUAGGAUUCGGAGGCUUUCGCUGGCGGGCUUUCGUCAUCCAUCACUGUCUGGGCUGGGCCGUCAUUGUAAAGACGUGCAUCUGUACGCACUAGACUCCUUUAUAUAAUGGCUUCUUAUCAGCAAAUACCCCCUUCUCAUCAACAUAUUUGAAGCAUUGAUGAAGCGUGGAACUUUCUCAGUCCCAAAGUGCGCUAUUCGACUCUCCAGCCCUUCUCAUAUAACUCACUGAUGAAGGGUGGAACUUUUUCAGUCCCAAAGUGCACUCUUCGACUCUCCAACCCUUGACUUUAUAGAACUGGCGACAUUUUCUCAUACCUUUGCUAAGCAUGUCCUUUAGGGCCUCAAUGACGUCACCCUCAUUGCAUAAUUGGUGACAUAGGGGGGAUAGCUGGACAGAGAAAUUAGCCUUCACAGGGCUCCCGUAGGGUCUAUUCCACCAACAAAAACAGGGGCAGGAACGUCUUUCAUAGGUGAUUCAACAACAGCCAUUCUUAUUAUUCUCCCGGGAUCAGAAGCAGAAGGCUAAACCUAAGGCAUCCUUUCUCCUUAUUAUUUCUCUUAAAUAAGAGAUAGCACCAGCCUAAUCCAAGAAUGUUGAUUCUUCUCUUUCAAAAGACUUUGGCUAUUCAAAGCAAUCCGCCCAAUGAGCUACGGCUAGAUGAGCUAAUGCCAGGGGAUUCCUCUCUAGAAAUUUCUUAAUAAAAGAAGACAGGAUAUUAUACCUCUUUAUAUAUGCCAACUGCAACUGAUUCCACUUGAGCAAGAGCAGCUUGCCCAAAAAUAAGAAAGAGAUAUGCGAAAUCAACCAAGACAAGCACACCACAAUCAACCGGUAAUCCCGCAUCUGAUUGUUCAUUGGGUGCGGAGGAAGAAAAUGUAGAAAAAGAACAAGAAAGAAAGGGAGAGUAAGCAAUCAAGUCUGUUAGUGAGUAUGGUAAUCUGGAUAGGCAGUCUGGUGGGAGAUAGAAUACCACCUUUCUUAGGUNNNNNNNNNNNNNNNNNNNNNNNNNNNNNNNNNNNNNNNNNNNNNNNNNNNNNNNNNNGAGAUAGAAUACCACCUUUCUUAGGUGGGUAUGAGUGUAUCUUGAUAGCCCAUGAUCAAAGAGAUAGGUAUGAGAAAUUCAAAUGAUAACGAAAUUAAUUGAAAGAUUAACACGGGACCUUAGAUUGACAUCUUAGAGUGCAUUCCAUAUGUAAAAGGUGUCACCAUCAUGUUGAUGUUGCGGAAGUCAUUAUUGAAGAUUAGUCGAAUUAUUUCAGGACUGGACUGAACCACUCAUUCAUAGGUAUUUUCCCGGCCCCAUAUGAAACUUCCUUAUCCUCGUCUUAGGUCAAAGGAUGCUCAUUUCUAAUAGAAAGAAGGCUUGAAAGCAAGCGUAAUGGAGCCCAACUAGCACACUACGACAACGAACAAAAACGACUACGCUAUGACGCUUUGUAUAGAUAGCAUUGAAGCUCUUAUUAGUCGAGCAGUGCUCACUAGUCAUGUUGGGAAGGCCCAACGAACUAUAUUGGUUGGGUUCUCCUGAGUAGACGACAAGAACAUAGGACGGUGGUGAGAAAGAAAUCAAGAUCUUCUGUCAAAGGCUACUAGCUUUCCACUGUUGGUAAUCGAUCUAGAUGCCAAGAAUCAGACAAGGAACUGACACUUGACUGAAAGCGUUUAUAGAUAGCAUUGAAGCUCUUAUUAGUCGAGCAGUGCUCACUAGUCAUGUUGGGAAGGCCCAACGAACUAUAUUGGUUGGGUUCUCCUGAGUAGACGACAAGAACAUAGGACGGUGGUGAGAAAGAAAUCAAGAUCUUCUGUCAAAGGCUACUAGCUUUCCACUGUUGGUAAUCGAUCUAGAUGCCAAGAAUCAGAAAAGGAACAGACACUUAACUGAAAGAGUUUUUGCCGUGCGCAUCGACGUAACCGCGGCUAAAUAAAAUAAGGAUGAUAGAAGUAGCUGCAAUUGCUAUUGAAUCUACUACUCAUGGAAGGUUUGACGAAGUGCCAGUACCAUUUCAUUUUGCAUAACGCUUUCUUGGGCAAGUGAAUAAUAGCACAGAAAGGUUAAUAAAAGUAUGUCUUAUUUUGCUCCUUCCUCAGGUGAAAGCGGUCUUGAUGCGGAACUAGCAGUUUUUCUUAAAUCAAUUCCAUUAUGUCUUAUUUUGCUCCUUCCUCAGGUGAAAGCGGUCUUGAUGCGGAACUAGCAGUUUUUCUUAAAUCUAUUCCAUUUCAACUCCCCUUUAUCAUUCGACUGGCUAGAGUAGCGUAGCAAUUACCAUGUCUUACACUUUUGGUUUUGCGGCUUGCUUGCUGUAAAUGGACAGAUUCCCUUAUGCACGAAUAGGUCUUGCUAGAAUCAGUUCUUUCAAAGGCUUGUGCAAGAACCCGAUUCCCAUUUCGCUUAGGACAAGACUGAAGGUUUAGGAAGAAAUGCCACAUCGUCAACUGGCUGGAAAGUGGAUGCAGAAUUACCAAUUGACCAAGAUUCCCAAAGGCCCCUACUGAGAGAGACGAGUGCGCUCAAGCGGCUAAAGCCCGGUCUUCUCCUGUGAUGAGGAGGAAGGGGCAUCCGAGACAGUUUCCACCUAAUUGAUUGAACCGCUAGAGACUUCCUUGGGCGAGUAGCACUCGCGGAUAAGAAGGCUUUAGUAGUGCCAAUUUUCACUAUUCUAAGUAAUUUCUGUAGUUAAAUGCUUUGGUCUCGCCCUUGCUUAAUUAAAGGCUAUUCACCCAAAGAUACGUGUUUGGACUAUUCGUAUCUACCAUAGUGGAAUAGCUGUUGUAGUAAGACGUUGUAAAGAGAAAGAGGGGUCCUUGUCUUACUUCUUAAUGGCGUCUCUUAGGUGCCAUCUUCGGAGAAUUGUUCGCUUUGGCCUUUAACAACUUGCUGGUUGACACAGCAAUUAAUGUGCCAUUUGUAAAAGGGAAAAUUGCGGAAUAGGGAAAUGGGAAGAUGCCUGCAAGCAGACUCAAUCUCAAUCAAAGAUUAUUCUACGAUCUUUUUCAAAAAACUGAAGGAAUCGCUAAGAGAUAGAUUGAAAUAGGGUUAGAGGGCGUACAGACUAAGAGCUAUGGGACUUGAACAAAGACGAAUUCAAAAUACAAUUGACCGACAACAGAAAAAAUACUACAGGGAAGACACGACCGAAUGCGGCCACGGAGAGAGUUCGUCAAGCACUAAAAGGCUUAUUCGCGGACGGAUUGAUUGGCUGACUGAAGACAGAAGUAAAUCACCAAGCAAGACGGAGAUUUUAUUGACUUGAUAGAUGCUAGUGACGGACUAGAAUGAAAAGCUUGGGCAAGGCUUGGAUUACUGCAAAAUCAUAAGGUGGGGAAUGGACAGCCCGGAAAGCACAGCCGGAUUGGCUAGUUCGGUUGACAUACUAGAAUGAAAAGCUUGGGCAAGACUUGGACUACGGAAAAAUCAUAAGGUAGGGAAUGGACAGCCCGGAAAGCACAGCUGGAUUGGCCAGUUCUGUUCCCCGUUCUCCUUCCAUAUACUUAUAGGCAGCCGUAAAUGAUAAAGCUUCCAUAGCAAAACCCGAACUUUAGAGAUUAGACAGGAACUGGCCUUUGCUUUCGUCACUAUAGUACGAACCCCAGAAUUUGCACAUGUAUUAAGGAAAUCUUUUUCAAUAGUCAAUCGAGACCGAGUCUCACUCCUGUACGUGGUGUGACGGUAGCUAUGGAAUCAUGUCCGGCUGUGACCGAGUCAGGGAUGGUAUCAGAGCAGCUUCAACCCACACUUGAUCAAAAGGAGGAGGCGUCCUAAACACAGUUGAGGAAAUUGAGCACCGGUAAGUACCGUGUGAAUCCCCCGGGGCAUUCACUAUUCCUAUUUUAAGGGUUAGGUCUAUCCCCAAGUGUUUUCCGCCUUCUUUUAGCCUCAGUGAACCAAGUUCAGUGAUCCAAUCAGCCUGAAUCGGUCAAAAGAAACUCUAACUCGAAUGAUGGGAUCUAAACUUUCUCGAGAGCUUGCUAAAAGUGAUUCCGUCGAGAGAUCUUGCAAGUCCAAGAUCAGCUGUUCAAUGAAACUCUGUAAAGAAGGGCCUGAAGCUUUGGCUCAUUAGGCUUUGACAUGGCAUAAAGGAAGGGAAGCAUUUCGCUGACCUUCAAGAUCCUUGAUUGAGUAGAUCCAAUUGAGAGGGAGUUGAAGUUCUUCGAGGGGAAAUAGACUUUUUGAGUUUAGGGGCAUACCUUAUAGGAGUAAAGGCUAUAAGUCUAAAGGAAGAGUUCAUAGGCAGAUCGAAGUCAAAGCAAGGUUAAUAGCAGUAAAGCAUUAGGCUAUGGCAUUCCACUUUAUUUGCUAUCUAUCCUUGAUGAAGGAAGGCAAGUCAGCGGUCAGGCUACUGCGAAUAUAUAGAGUCUCUCCCUUGAAAAAAAUACGCUAUUUUCAUUCAUUAGCAGUACUUCGGUCAAGGAAAGACAUCUGCGCUGAUAUCUCCGUUCUUCCAUGCUUACUUAUGCGCCAACAAGCCUAAAGAAACUAGCUCUUGCAGUUGUAGCUAUGGUCAAGCCAGUUCAUGAAUGGGACCAUUAGGUUUGUGGUAUUCUAAAGAGUUCCUCAACUAAGUAGUUAAGGAAGCUCCUGAGUUUCGGAUGUUCUAUUAGGGUUAGAAAUAGAGGUGAUAAAACCUGUUACUAGCAUACUUUAAAUUACAACAGUUGAUGACGGGUCUAGAGACCUUUUUUACUUGAGAAAGCUCUUAUAGGAGAGGGUGUUGAGGUCCUCUUACUAGUUCCUACUUCGCUUCAACAAUGUAGCUGAAUAUUGUUGUUAGAGCUAGUUGCCACUUUGUAGCUGUUCUCCUUCCUGGUGCUCUUUGGACUUGGACUCCUGAAAGUCCAAUAAGAUGAUCAUGAAGAAGGGGCUACGGUCCUUUAAGAAGUAAGCUCUUCCGGACUGAGCUGAGGGGAUAAUCUAUGACUUAUUGAGUUCCCGUCCCGCUAUUCCUUUAUGGAAUGAGCCCGUACCGUAAUGCCUUAAUNNNNNNNNNNNNNNNNNNNNNNNNNNNNNNNNNNNNNNNNNNNNNNNNNNNNNNNNNNNNNNNNNNNNNNNNNNNNNNNNNNNNNNNNNNNNNNNNNNNNNNNNNNNNNNNNNNNNNNNNNNNAAUUCAUUGAUUUCACUGUCAGGCUAGCUCACUGCCUCACACCACUCUUAAGAAUUGGCACCGCACCCUAACCCUCUGGUCACUUCACUUGGCUUUCAUCCCUGACUUGUUUUUAUUUAUACCCUGGUUUCUAACGGUUAACUACUUCGGUGACCAUUUCCUUGCGGAUAACAGGAGCAACAGAAAGACUAUGUACCAGAGCCCUCACAGUCGGGACUGAUACAGGACUAAUGUUGACCUGACCUUUCUUAAUUAUAAACUGCUUAGCAAACUCUAGGCGUCCACAAUCCCCGAUCAGAGAUCAAAGACUUUUAUUUUGAUAUGGUCAUCUGAAGCUCCUCCAUGGCUUCCUCGUAAAUUUCUACUACGUGCCUAUCCCUAAUGACAAUGUCAUCACCGAGAAUAGCGUACUUCAGAAACCUUUGCUUUUGGAGUAACACGAGCCUGGAUGAACAUGAAUUUCUUAUAGAAAGAAGAGCCGCAUUGUAAGAAAAUGCAUAGCAGCAGUAGUAGCAGACGAAUCUGCUAGUAUUACAGCUAAAUGAACAUUGCGACCGUCUUAGCCUUACCUUUGCGCAUGCCCCGAUAGCGGAAUCGAUAGAUGUUCUCAUGGAGCGGAAACUAGGUCUAGUGCCAUAAAAGGGAGAGUCUGAUGAUAAGUUGAAGCUGCUCUGCUAAUGCCCUGGCCAAGAGACGACUUAUAUCUACAUCCAUCCUCAUAGUAAGAAAAAGCCAGUGAAAGCUCUCUUCUAGGCGCUUAUUCCCACUCAAGCUUAACACAUAAUUUGUGGAAAUCUUCAUUCUGUACAUCUCCUCGUCAAAUUUGGCAUGAGCUCGCAGCCUAGAUUAUGGGGGAGAAUGAAUGGCUCUGUGACUCCAUAUUUCNNNNNNNNNNNNNNNNNNNNNNNNNNNNNNNNNNNNNNNNNNNNNNNNNNNNNNNNNNNNNNNNNNNNNNNNNNNNNNNNNNNNNNNNNNNNNNNNNNNNNNNNNNNNNNNNNNNNNNNNNNNNNNNCUGAGAAAAGAAGUCAAGGAAAAAAGUGACUCCAUAUUUCUCCUUGAAGGGAAAGCAAAGCUACGUCUCUCAAAAGGGCUUACCCGACCCCCCCUACAUCCAUCCCCUAUUUCCUUUUCUCAUUUAUGGAGCGACAUGUGCGUAGGUUUGAAUGACAGGGUUUGAUUGGUUUCUCAUUAAUUCGGGAUCCCUAUCUCAACGGUGCCGAAGUUUGGUUACACCUCGGGCUAAGGGGUCUAUCCUGCGCCCCCAAAAAAAGGUUCCCAGAAAUAGAAUUUCGCACCAUGCUAAAUCUGAGGGUGGCAUAAUAUAAUAGAUAAAGCAGCCGUGGAGUUGCUAAUGAUUUUUUAUUGGAGUUGUGGCCGACCUGGGUUCCAUUCCUGGGGCUCUAGUGUGGCGAACGCCCCAAAAGGAGAAGGAAAAGAGAAUUGGUGAUGGAAGAACAAAAGGUUGGUCAACAAUUUGUUACGUUUGCUUCUACACAAAACGAUUUUGAGGAUGAGCACAGAAAGAUGCAUAAAAAAAACAAUGCGGAAUAACAAGAGGAAGGGCGCUAGUGCAGGAAAAGCAGAAGUUUGAAAGGAUUGGCAUGAUAAGACGAGAUUAAUCUAGAAGAUGAGAAUGUAGAUUCGUGGGUGGCCGAUGUAUAUAUUAAUGAAAUGUCCAGUAUCCUACAAUUUCGCCUUUUUGAUCAACAAGGUAUUGAAUCACUUCAAGGGGGGAACUCCUGGGUUGAGCUUACGAGGACUAUCAUUUCAAGGACGAUCAGUCCGGAUUUGACCGAUGUCGAUAGUCUCGCCACGGCCUAUUUUCUUUUUCUGGAGAAGGUCGUCUAGUGAGAUAAUGAACGAUGCCCCGAUAAUCCUGCAGCUAUGGGGAACAAGGGUUAUCCAUUUCAUAGCGUAGGCGAGGGUGGGUGAACGAAGUGAAUUGCUACGCUCUAACAGUGAGAGACGGGAUCUCGAGCUUAGAGAUUAGCCUCAGGCCGGACAGUGGUCAGGGGAGGAGCACAGACAGAUGGCUUCUUAACAUUUCACUUCUAAUAACCCUCAGAUGUAGUUAGAAGGUGAACGGGGUCACCAAAGCCACGAUAAGAAAGGCUGAAAUCCAGAUCAUGCAUUGCAUAUAGAGCACCCUGGUUCGAGUCCAGCUCGUGACAAGACCUUUGGUCAUUGAAUCUCUCGGCGCCUCUUCUCUUUAGACGGAGGAUGACUCUCCCAUGAGCUGAGACAGCCUCUUUUUCCUAGUUAGGACAUUCGGAUAGAUUAACCCCUAAAGGAGAUCCCAUCUCUCUUAUUCUUUCUCGAGUUACAGGGAAAGGUCACGGCUGCAUUUAGGAGUGAAAGCGAGGGAGUGAGAUUUUUGGGUUCAUUAGGGCAGACUGAAGACCAAGCCAACCUCGAUUAAAAAAGAAAACUUAUUGCAAAUACAAACGUGAACAGAUUCUUUCUCAUUAGACUAUUUUAACCGAUUGUUUAUGUCGACCCAACGCUACGAUUCUUCUUCUCUUAUGAAAUUUCUAGUUAGAUGAACACUGCUCUGCUGCAUGACNNNNNNNNNNNNNNNNNNNNNNNNNNNNNNNNNNNNNNNNNNNNNNNNNNNNNNNNNNNNNNNNNNNNNNNNNNNNNNNNNNNNNNNNGUUAGAUGAACACUGCUCUGCUGCAUGACGGAGUGAUCUAUCCCUCUUAUGAAAGCUGGUAUCUCAUUUUUGAAAGAGAGUCUCGACGUGGCGGUGUAGACCUAGCUCCAUAGUUGGGCUAGUCACUGGCUCGAGGACGAUCGACCUACCGGACCAGAGGCUGCUGAGAAUGUUAUGUAAAAAAGACCAAGGAGGAUCCUAUCCUAAAGGAUAAGGAGGGAGUAGGAUCUAGCUUUAGGGGCGGAAUCGAAUGAUUACGAGAUAAACAAUGAGACAAAGGAGAGAACUUAGACAAUUCACUUUGAGUACAGGGAAGUCUGCUGGUAGGAAUUCCUCAGGGCGUAUUACGGUUUUUCACCGAGGGGGUGGAUCGAAGCGAUUGCAGCGAAGAAUUGAUUUGAAACGAAGCACUUUGUCUAUAGGCAUUGUAGAAAGGAUAGAAUAUGAGACUAAUCAGUCUUCUCGAAUCGCUCCAGUACGAUGGAUCAGGGGAUCCGCCAGAGAAAAUACAAGACGAUAGAAGAGUUCGCCCCGCCGCGUACGAUCCUCGAAUCAACCACGACUACUAUCUGCGGUCCAUUUUGUUCUCUUCCCUGCCCGGGAAGGGGGAUCAAAGAAUGGUAGCUUGCUUCUCUCCUGGACGGAUGGCGACUUAUGUAGUGGUCGGCCUUCCUACCAGAAUUCCUUCUUGGUCGAAGAGCCCCUUUUUUACUAGUAAGGACGCAGGAAUCAAAAAAACUUGCGCGAAGGACGUUUUCUUCUCUACCCUCUCCUCUCCAAAGGCCAAGGGAGAGACUGCAUCCCUUUACUUCGGUAGCUCUUUUGGUUUCCAAAGGAUAGCGGUAGCUGGGGCAAAGCUCGCUUUCUUUGCUCCGCGAAUGAGAGAUAAAGUCAGAGGAAAAAACACGUUCUCUCUUUGCGAGAUCCGAAAGUGGAGAACCCAUAGCAUUCUAUGGGUACAUAGGAUCAAACGUAAAGCAGCGCUCUCUUGGCCAAGUUUUAAGAGGCAAGAGACUUUAGGGCUUUUUGGAGCUUCUGAGCGUACCGAAUCAAAGCCGAAGACGGAUAAAUGUAGCUUGCCUACCAAGCCGAUAGGCGAAGGGCUGAAGGAUGGAACGUGCAAAGUAGAUCGUGAACCUGUCAUGUUACCCGUUGGUCCUAAGCAAUGUCUUGCGCGAAGCGACCCACUUAGAAAAAGCUCCCCUUUUAGAGGAGCACUAAAAUGCAACUUUGAUCGGACGCGGGUAUCAAAUCUCGCCGCUGAGAUGUCCAGCGGAUUCUUGGGCCUUGACGAAUGGCCGGCCACCUUUUAUGUUAGAAGAGCAAAAGGCCCAGGGCAUAGCAAGAUGAACCAAUGUGAUAAGUGUAAGCUUCCUUGCCCGAACACGAUUGGUGCUGACCACACUAUGUGCUACCGUGGUAGCAAAAGAGGUCAGGCAGUGACAAUAGAGAGGUUGUCACUGAGCCAUCCUAGUCACACGGGAAAAGUGGUCAAAUGGUAAGGCCAUACGCCCGUUUGGCUCCUCGCAUAGUAUAUCUCACAUCCUAACAUCUGAUUGCGGAAUGGGGCAACGCCCAUGAAGCUCCGGCGGAAAGGGAAGGCCUGCCAGGCCGUAUGCCCAUGGGUGCAGGAUUCUUCGAAAAAGCGCGGGCUGACUCGGAGACCUGGGACCUUGGCUUAGUAAUGAAUGAAGGGAAGCUCUUCGAGCUUUCUCCGCCAGCGGGAAAAGUGCGGGCUAACCGAAGACCUGGGACCUUGGCAUAGUAAUGAAUUAAGGGAAGCUCUUAGAACUUUCUCCGCCAGCAGCUUAUGUAGUGGUCGGCCUAAUAGAGCUCGCUAAGCCUCGCUUCCCUCUCCCCUUCACUUAUUAAUUAAGUGGAAAAUAGUCGUCGGCAUUCUAUAAGCGACUUGACCGAGUCUACGAAGCUUUGCUUUUCUUGUAGUCGGCCCGUAAUGCCUCCCUUCAUUUGCUUGCCUCCUUUCAGCUCAGAAUGCCUAAUGCCUAUUAUUUAAGAAGCUAACCGCCAUAAGCUCACCCUUCGGGUCUCGCUUCCAGCGCAGGAGGCCAAGCAAAUAACCGACUUGACCGAGUCUACGAAUCUUGGCUUUUCUUGUAGUCGGCCUGUAAUGCCUCCCUUCAUUUGCUUGCCUCCUUUCAGCUCAGAAUGCAUAAUGCCUAUUAUUUAGUGCUAGAAGCUAACCGCCAUAAGCUCACCCUUCGGGUCUCGCUUCCAGCGCAGGAGGCCGAGCAUUCUGCAAGACGUUCCGGCCUGGGAGCCCCGUUCACAUUUGGUACUUCAGUAGAUCUUCUAAAAUAAGAAGCGCUACUUCAGCCUUAACUACAACUACAUUACGCAAGCCCCGCCGAUACCUACCCAUAGAGUCAAAUUAAAAUUAAAAAGUACCAGUGACGACGACUUUCUUGGUUUAUAGAUUCAGUCAGCUAAACUCCAUCAAACUCCUCAAUCAAUAUCAACAAGAUGUCGUGACCGCUUAGGCUUGGUUUACUUUUGUUUGAAUGUAAACUAAAAUAAGCGGCGUUUAUUCAAACAAAGGGAACCGAAGGUUUCCUUGAUUAGUAGUACGAAAGUAGUUCUACUAUUAAGAUGUUUAAUAUUAAUAAGAAAUAUUCAGGGUCGUAGCUGUAGAACAGAAUGUCGUUCGCCUUUACUUUCACUUUCUGAGAAGGACUUAAGUAGCUAAGAUUCCAAAUGUGAACACCCCCUGUCCUUUAUAGUAUAGUCGUAAAGUUCUUCUCAGAAAAGUCAUGAAGAAGGCACUCGAAAGGCCGACCACUAACUCAUAGGAACUCUGGUGGUAAAAAUGACGACUACACGGCUCUAUACCAAGUCAUGAGCGAUAGCGAAGCCCAGCCGCCGUCUAUAGGCGAAGGGAUGAAAGCCGGACGAAGGCCUAUGCUACAGUGAGAAAACAAAGUACGUCGAGGUUACGAAGUAACUUACCCGUAUACUAUACAAAGGGAAAGGCGUCGGUAUGGAGUCACGUCAGGUGUGGAUAUAGACUAGGCUAUAAGGAACAGAGUCAACAACUGUGGACUGAGACUACACUAAGGAACGAGGAAGCUUGACUGAGAAAAGAAGUCAAGGAACGAAGCUGCAUCUCUAAUAGCCCGUUGAAUAGAUGGGCGAAGGCUUUUUGGAAAAGUCUUUUUUGUUUUGUAAAUGCUCUAUUUAGAGAGAGGGGGCUUCAAGUUCUUAGGAAGAGCCGUACGAGACAGCUCAUGUACGGUUCGGGAGUCGAGCCCCUGCGCAGGGGCUUAGGUCAACACUUAUAUAAUAGCUAGUCAUCAAUUGGAAGCGGGAAAGAUGGUGAUGAAUUGCGAUUGGUCUAAACCUUCGACUAGCGACUUAUUGCGACCUGCCCAGAAUGCCCAUACAGACUAAGACCUUAUUCACACAGCGAAGAAAGGCCGAGUGGAAGGGGGCAGGCAGCUGGCUGCUUCUUUGCCAUGCGCUUUGCUUCGCUUUAUUUUAUAGAAGAAAGAGACCAAAUGAGAGUGAAAGGCAAGGGCAAGCGAUAGAAAGGAGAGUCCCUCGCGCGAACUACUACUACUAGAAAAUGGUGAGACCAUUAGUGAAAGAAGGACCAAAAGAAAGGCCGAGUGGAAGGGGGCAGGAAGGUGGCUGCUUCUUUGCCAUGCACUUUACUUCGCUUUAUUUUAUAGAAGAAAGAGACCAAAUGAGAGUGAAAGGCAAGGGCAAGCGAUAGAAAGGAGAGUCCCUCGCGCUGAACUACUACUACUAGAAAAUGGUGAGACCAUUAGUGAAAGAAGGACCAAGGAGAACCCUAUCCUAAUGGAGAAAGAGGAGUCAGUUUCUUUGAAGAUCUAGGAACGUAGUGUCGGACAAUUAUGCCAUUCGAAAGAAGUCUUCUACAGAAGAAAAUCCUGUUACGAGUAAGUGGAGAGGAAAGAUCUCCAAGGAUUCUUAUCUCAUUCCAUUCCAUUGGCUCAACCAGUAACCAAUGGCAAAAACUAACAAAUCCAUGGUUUCCUGGUAGAACCCUAGUUCGCCCAAGUUGUCUCGGAACCGGAAAAAAGAAGCGGGUUUUUGCACAGCUUGCUCAUAGUGCAGGUUCCACUUGUAUAUCGUAUUUGGCCGAAGACGCAUCGGACAGGUUGGAGUUCUUACCUUCUUGGGACUCCAUGGACCAAUAUCUGCUUUUAUUAUAUGGUCAAUACCGAUCUACUUUAGUAGAUCAUAUGGAUGUAGAAAAAGCUUCUAAUUUGAAUGAAAUAGAAACAUCUCUUUUCCAUUUCUAUUUACUCAGUUCAUAUCUUUGUUUCAUGUGUUCCUGGGAGGAAUUCGAUCUCGGAAUACCACCUAAAUAACUACGGCCAGAGAGUCAAAUAGGUCGGGAAGAAAGAGUCUGAGGUCGGGUCGGACGACAUACAUCUUGGUUGGUUCCACCACCACUAGAGAUUGGACAUAUAUAUAAUCUUUCUUCUAAAAAAGGGAUUCUUAUAUAUAUAUAUUAUUAAAAUAGCUGCAAGACCAAAACGGGGUGCAAAAAACCGAAAGCUCUUCUUUUAUUUAAGUUCCUCCCAGAUACAUGGCUUACAUACCCGGCUCAACAUUCUUGGAAAACAAUCGAAUCGAGGGUUCGGAGGAGAAUUGGCCAUUCAAUCUUGUGAACUAAUCGAGACCAAAAUUGGAAAAAUAGAUACGAACGGAGAGGAAUAAACAAUCGAUGAAAGAACAUGAAACCAUUCUAUUUUGAUAGAGGUACAAGAAACGGUUGGGGGCAAUGAAGUAGGUGAAGUGGUUGGAUUUUGCGAGUUGUUCCAACCACUGUUGGAUGUGAUUCCAAGAGCCUAACGAGAAUGAAUACCACACAGAAGAGUCAAGACCAGGCUCCCGAAAGGAAUGUUUAACCGAUCCAUUCCGGAUCGACUGAAUUGGUACGGAAGUUGAAACAUGGGAAAACCACUGAAAACACGACUUAUUUGAAUAACCCGGUGACCUACCAAUUGUAGAAGUAGGAUUUUUGGCAAGCAAUAAGCACUUAAAUAAUACAAUUCAAGUGUACCAUCUUCUUUCUCAUUUCAAGGAAAAGGAGCGGAAGGAAAAGGAAAAAGCGGAGGGAUCCGAAUCGGACCUAAAUGGGAAGGAUAUGAAAAGUCUUUCUCAAAACCUAGCAUUAAGGGCGUUAUGACUAUAUACGAUAGGAAUAGAGAAAAACUCGUGAUUGGUAUGGAGGGGAAGAUCUGUUUAUGAUAUAGUUCAUGAAAGAGUCGUCUUAUUUCCUUACUUCUUUCUAAUUCAUUCACUUCAAGACUUGUUCUGAACGCCGCCUAACAUCAUCCUCAACCAACCUCUACCGUACUUUCGGUGCGACCACUAAAGAAUUGCUUAUACACUAAACAACUGCUUAUAUACGUUUACUAAAAGACUGACACUCAUUCAUUAUCAUUAGUCCAGCGUGAAACUAAGAAAGAGAGAUAUUCCUAAGGCGGCAUGUAAGCAACUGUGCACGCUAAGAGAAGAGGAGAGAUGUUCGCGAUUACUACCACAAGAAACCCGCCCCCUAUCUUCUAAAGGGGCCCGUCACUUCGUUCGUACCUUCUUGGCUUAGGCUUCCAACUGAACAACAUGGCCUUGCCGCCCCGCCACUAGCAGAAGCUAAGCGCUUGAAAAGCGCGCUAAGAAAGGUUGCUUCUGUCGCCCUUUCUGUUUGCCGCCCCGCCACUAGCAUAAGCUAAGCGCUUGAAAAGCACGCAAAGAAAGGUUGCUUUUGUCGCCCUUUCUGUGCAACAUUCCACCAGUAGCGGAAGAGAGGAUUACCGUACAUACAAGAGUCUUCCAGUUCUUACGGAAGCUCUUUCUUAUGAGUCAAUCAAGUAGUACAAGAACUUUAUCUUAUCUUAUAGCCCGGCGCGGCGGGUCGCCUUUUAAAUUAAGUAGAUAGAAUAAAGUAUUAAAUAGAUAAGGAGUAGGUGAGUGAGUGAGUCCUCACUGACCUCAGCGAUUUUGAUCACCUAGCAGGCCUUUUAUUUGGUAGGUAACAUCGCCAAAGCGGAUCAUCAAAUUUGACUACGAAGGAAGGAACUCGAAGUGAAAGGGCACCGUCUUGUGCAAGGCAACGAUAGUUGGCCCUCUAUCAUCUUCUAUCUGGUAGACUUGGUAAAAGGGCCCCGACUUAUUUCCAGAAUAAGAGUUCGACCGCGGCUUCCCCCUUUUUUUGGGGGGGAUCAAGUUCCUUGCCAACUGCCACCUAUCGACCCCGACCUCUUUUCAUUUGUUUUGGAUAUUACCAAACCUAGCCUAGCCUUCGUAAAUCACACUAAAGCGGACACCCAACUAUGGAAAAGCCUCCUUAAGGGGGGGUUAGGUUAGUCAAUACCUAGCCUAGCCUUCGUAAAUCACACUAAAGCAGACACCCAACUAUGGAAAAGCCUCCUUAAGGGUGGGAUAGGUUAGUCAAUCCGGCCCGAGACGCGUUCGUUGACAAAACUGUCGUAGGAAUUCCUACUUUUUAAUAGAGCGGAGGCGAACUGAUCAACGAGAAAGAGGCCCUACUCACUACAAACGAAUACACCACAAGAUCGAACUGCACUCAUGCCUCUCCCGCAUCAAGUUGACCGCCCCCCCUACGUAGUGAUUCUAUCAAUCAUGUACGUAGGUAGGACCCUCCAUUCUGAUUGGUAUAUCAUGAAAAAAGAAAGCCAUUUGCACCAGGCGCACUGCGCUUUCCCUUGCCCAGAUGUUCGCCUUUCUAAGUCAAGGCCCACUACGUAGUGAUUCUAUCAAUCAUGUACGUAGGUAGGACCCUCCAUUCCGAUUGGUAUAUUAUGAAAAAAGAAAGCCAUUUGCACCGGGCGCACUACACUUUCCCUUGCCCAGAUGUUUGCCUUUCAAAGUUAAGUAAUGGUGACCCACCGAAGACUGGAGCUUCAUAACAUGUUGACGAAGGCCCCCGAACUGAGGGUUCGGCAAGUAGAAGUUACGACAUUGUCUCCACGGAAGAAGAAUAGCCCCGCUCUCUAGCCGACUGAUCCAGUUGAUCAUAUAACUGGGAGGGAACGUGUCACAUUAGAGGUGCACGAUCAGAGGUGUCCUCUAAUCACCACGACGAGGCUGGUCCCUCUUUUACUAGACCCUGCUAUGAAUAUUCAUGAAGAAAUAAAUGUCGGGCUCUUUCUUUAACUAUUAACCCCAAGAAGUUUCAACAUGCUAAAACUUUCCGUUUCGUCGAGCCCCGAGCUUGUGGUCCUCCUUUGAGUGUGGGUUCAAUUGAAUGAAUCUGUCAAGUCAAGGAAAACGUACGUAGCAGCAAGGAUGGUGCAUCGCCUAUUUAUCGUUCUCGCUCGGGAGCCAAAACGAACACGCCUGCUACCUACUGUACUGGACCUUCGACCAGGCAUUCUACCUUUGUCGAAUCGGAACCAAAACCACCUGCUACCUACUGUACUAGACCUUCGACCAGGCAUUCUACCUUUGUCAAAUCGGAACCAACACCACUGCAUUGCGCUCGAAAAGUUAAGCGGCCGCCGGCCAGCAACUUCCGUGCACAGAUAUAGAUUCAUUCUUCAUACCUUGUCCAGCCUCACAACCCUUCGCGCGUUGGUAAGAAGUCAAUCUUGUUUGGUAAGACUAAAUUGGACAAAGAAAAGAGAGUGCUCGACCGGAACAACGGCCAACAACGUAAUUACAUAGAUAACUGCUCCUCCCCUGAUCCUUAAGGCUUUAAGGCGAACCGCAUGGCGGCUGGGAAGAAAGACGACCUCACCUUCUCUGGUGUCAGUGAGAGCUAUUUGAGUAUCCCCCGUUGACCUUCUUUUGUAGAUAGAAUCUUCAAUGAGUGGAAACAAGCAACCUUACUAAGAAAGGUGCUUGUUGAGUAAGGCCGGCUUUCGAGCCCAAGCCCCUUUACUAGGUUGGGCGCUUGAGCGCAUCUUUCUCAUAUCGAUCAAGGCUUUCCUUGAGUUUGAAAUAAGGGGCAAGAAGCAAGGGCGUAGCAGCUGCGCGAAGUUGCGCCUUAGCGAUUUCAAGGCCAAGCCCCUUUACUAGGUUGGGCGCUUGAGCACAUCUUUCUCAUAUCGAUCAAGGCUUUCCUUGAGUUUGAAAGAAGGGGAAAGAAGCAAGGGCGUAGCAGCUGCGCGAACUUGCACCUUGGCGCAUCCGUUUUCUUGCAGCAGUGCUAAGGCGCGACCUAACGUUUUCUUCCGCUUGCUCAGCAGUACGAGCCUCAUACAAAGCUGCGCUCCUUUAAUAUGAUGAGAAGAAGGGGGACCGGCCUCUUUUCCGUACCAAUCCUUAUUUACUACUUCAUCUUUUUUGGGCUGUAUAGCUCAGUUGGUAGAGCAUUGGCCUUUUAACCUAAUGGUCGCAGGUUCAAGUCCUACUAUUCCCAAACCUACCUUACACUCUACUCUGAAUAAGGAUGCAUAGUAGCCUUCAAAGAUGACUCUUUGGCUUUUAGACUCGCUUCGGCGACUUCGCCCUUUAUGUGAUAAGGGGGUGAGCCGCUCCAAGCGGAAAGCGAUAGUGAAUCCCGAACUUGCCCACGCUCAUCCAAAACCAGCCUCAAAAAGCGAUUGGAAUGCGAAGCCCUUCCUUCCAAUCCAAGCCGGCGAAGCCGCCCCUAUAUCUAACCACCGCUCACCCCGAUCACAUAUUGGCAUGUUGAUGAUGCAUCAUAAUCAAAAGGCCGUAAAGUAAAGAAGACCUAUGCAUCACUGUACUGUCAUGAUCACAUAUUAGCUCAACUUUAUUGACGGCUUGAAGGAGAAGCCGCCUAUUUCUUAGGUCAAAGGGCGCUCCAUCCUCCUAACUCCUUCCACUUUUCCCAGGGACAGGAACUACGGCUUGAUCUUCGGGGAAGAAGUCUGUGGGACCCCUCCUUCGAGGGCGCCUAGAUAGUGAAAGGUUAUCCCUUUGCAUCUCUGGAAGCUAAGCAAAGUCACGAAGCUGGCUGACUAUGCUCGAGUAGAGCUCAGACCGAAGGUGGUGGCUGAACUCGCCGCAGAGUUCAGGAGCGAGCAAGACUAUCUUGGUGAAUGCAAUAAGAACCGGCUGCUCGCCGCAGCAGAGUGCUUUGCCCAUGCUGCUAUCCGCCGCCGAAGCGCUCAAGGGAUUCGUGCUUGAAUGUCGAGAUCAUCGGCUGCUCGCCGCAGCAGAGUUGUUUGCCCAUGCUGCUAUCCGCCGCCGAAGCGCUCAAUAGAUUCGUGCUUGAAUGUCGAGAUCAGGGGACUCUAUCCAAUCCAUACGGCAAAUCUGUUUUAGGUGGAAAAAACUCAACAAUAAAAAGAAAUAAAUAGAAUAUAGAAAAUCAUUGAAUUUGUUUGCACCGCUCUGCAAACGGAGCGAAUGAAGAAAAAUCUUACCUGAUAUCAUGAAUAUCCUUUUUGCUCUUUCUCGGCUCCGAGUUUGUGGUAAUAGUGUUGGUUAUAAUUGUCGAUUUACAAGUCUUCUUUUUUUAUUUUUCUUCUGAUGAAAACCCUCGCCUUCGGCUCCAUAUUGAAAAGGCCGACCAUGAAGGGACAUCACGACUAUCCUUUCUGGGAAUACCGGGCUUUAUAUGAUCCUGAUCAGUGACCAGUAUAUUUUAAUAUUCUGAAUCCUUAUGUGCUUUUUUUUGUUAUACUAGCGGCGACAGAUGUAUUAGUAAACAGGAGCCGCUAUCGCUCACCCGGCUGGAUGUCAAUCUGACGGAUGGAUAGGUGUACCAGAAAAGAAAGGGUCAAUUACAAGAGGAAGGCGGAGGAAAAAAGACGAGAGAGCAAGACCCAGGAGGCUCGUAGCUACCACGGCCGUAAGCACUCCGCUCGUUCGUAAGCCCCAUUAGAGAUAGGGGCGAGCCAGGAGCUUACUUCGAGUAUAUAUGACUCUGGUGGCAACACGUGAAAUGCGAAUGACAUGAUUCUCGAGGAGUUACACGACGAGCAUGUGAUGAUGCAUCAAAUAGAUGCAAGGGUGGAUGACUCAGUAGGUCCUUGUAUGGACGGAUUGUGUUCCCCACAGGGAGAGCUUUAGAGGAAAUAGAAGUGGACAUCUAUAUGGGCUUCAUGUGACUCGAAGCCAACCACUAUGUAUUGAAAGAAAGUCCUAUGUGUACCUAUGUAUACCUAAUGAAAGCCAACAAGAGCCUAUUAACAAUUACCAGCCUAAACCAAGCAAGAUUCAAGAAUAAAUCCAUUACCAGCAAGAUACAAUACGGCUUAGCCAAAAAAGGUGAGCGCCUAGCGCGAGCCUUAUUAAAAACGGACUAGCUAACGAGCAAUAUUUCUAAAGCAAGAAGCAAGGGCGCAGAAGCUGCACGAAGUUGCUUCUUAGGGCAUAUCCAUUUUCUUGAUCGUUAGCGCUUGACUAGUAAGGUAGAAAGAGUCUUUCUUGCUUGUUUAGUGAUGUCAAGCUUUGGCGGUAGGGUUGGGGUGGCUUGCUGGGGCACUCGUGCCCUUAGUAGUUUUGGGGCUUUGAUUGGCAGAAGCGGUUUUCGCCUUCUAGCCAGCAGUUGCCGGAUUAGCCUUCGGACUUUCCUUACCCGCCUUUAUUGAGAAAGAAGAGAUCUAAAGGUUGGACAUCCAUCGCUGCCGUGAUGACGCGGUUGAAUGUUCAUUCGAUCCAACACCCGGCCGAUCAAACCUAUCCUUGGGUUCGAUCCAGCAAGUGAUUCCCUCCCCGAAAGAGGGAUAGUCCCGUGAUGACGCGGUUGAAUGUUCAUUUGAUCUAAUACCCGGCCGAUCAAACCUAUCCUUGGGUUCGAUCCAACAAGUGAUUCCCUCCCCGAAAGAGGGAUAGUCGUUAGGUCAUGAAUGGAAUGCGAGGAAGAGAGAUAAGCAGUUGGCGGGGACCAUCCGUUAUCGGUCCAUAUUGGGUAGAUCUACCCCUCUCAUCCUCUGAUCCUUUAUCUACCGUUCAAUCUAUUGAUUUUAUUUCUUCUCGACUGGCCUAUUACGCUUUGGCGGGGACCAUCCGUUAUCGUUCCAUAUUGGGUAGAUCUACCCCUCUGAUCCUUUAUCUACCGUUCAAUCUAUUGAUUUUACUUCUUCUCGACUGGCCUAUUAUGCACACGGGCCAAUAUACUACAUGCUAAUAAUGGUCUUUUGGAUUUCAUCUCCUACAAAAAUAGCAAGUGGUUGACCGUUCGAUCGAGUCUAUCCCUUGAAUUCGUACCCUCCCAUUAUGCGUGAGUCUUCCACCGAUUGACAGAAAUGCCGACCGGAAUUCGAGAACGGUCCAUCCCACCAUAAUGGAUCUCUCCUACCGCUACCUACUAGUGGAUCGAUUUAGGGAAGGAAAGAAAUGCCGAUGUUGCAAUUCUUCCCAUCCCGAUAAAGCGAGUCUCCGUGAUUCGAUAGUUCCAUUUUCCGCUUAUGCGGGCCGAUUGGGACCCCAGCAGUCAAAUCACUAUGUUCGUUCCUCACCCUCCUUCCAAUAAAAUCUAUUCUAAGGUGUCCGGAGGCAGGGGAAAGAAAGGAGGGAUUGAUCGACCAACUUGAACAGAUCCAUAACCUGCUUCCAUCUGUCCUGAAUGAGGGAAUUAAGGCGGGUAUAGUCGAACUGAACUGCUUGAUUCUAAGGUGGGUGAUAAGCAGCUGUAUCCGUAUCAAGCCUACCAUCUCUUCUCACGAAAGACUUUCCCGCUUCCAUCUGUCCUGAAUUAGGGAACUAAGGCGAGUAUAGUCGAAUAGAACUGCUUGAUUCUAAGGUGGGUGAUAAGCAUAUGUAUCCGUAUCAAGCCUACCAUCUCUUCUCACGACAGACUUUCCAUCCCGUCUCUGAAAGUUUUGCAAUAUAAGUGGCCCUUCUUCAAAGCCCCAGAAAACCCCCCUACUCUCUCUAUAAAAAAAAAGCCCUUUCCCCUUUGUUUAUUAAUAUAUAGUAAGAUUUGAAAAGUAACACGCUCCCGACAAGCAAUUAAUCCAUAAUAUCAUCCAUAGUUGGCAUUAUUGGAAAUAAAUCACCCAACUCUUAUUCAAAGCCCAUCUACACACUCCAGCUGNNNNNNNNNNNNNNNNNNNNNNNNNNNNNNNNNNNNNNNNNNNNNNNNNNNNNNNNNNNNNNNNNNNNNNNNNNNNNNNNNNNNNNNNNNNNNNNNNNNNNUCUCUUCCUUUUGAGCUAGUCAAGCAGGCGUUGAACACGGACUGAGACUCUCCCUUCCCUUUGACAGCAAUUCCUGCACUUGACGUCGAAUCUCCUCAUUUUCAAUUGGGGAUAAGCGUGAAGCCGCUUUGCAGGAUAGACCCGCUCCUACCUGCAACUAAAUCUGCUUCUAUAUCCUCCUCUUAUCUUAGGGGGUAAUCAAGCCGGUACUUGUGGAUUCAGGGGCGGCAUCAAGUCGGAAGAGUGUCGCAGAAAGAUAAAGAUCUGCACUUCCCUUUUACAACAUAGGAGGGAGGGGGCCUCGUUCCUAAAAAGCCUUUCCGAUUGCCUCCGCCCCUAUCUCUUAAAGCUACGGCAUCCCACCGAUCCCCGAAUCGGCUCUGCGAUCAAGUCCGAAGAGUGUCGCAGAAAGAUAAAGAUCUGCACUUCCCUUUUACAACAUAGGAUGGAGGGGGUCUCGUUCCUAAAAAGCCUUUCCGAUUGCCACCGCCCCUAUCUCUUAAAGCUACGGCAUCCCACCGAUCCCCGAAUCAGCUCUGCUAAUUGCCUUUGUUGCUAUCACGGCAUAGCAUUCUAUGGACUCUUUCCCACUUCCAUAAAUGGUAUGCCAACAAACACCUUUUCUCCUUAGCCAACAAAAGUCUUCUGAUGGCAAUAACGGCGUUUCCCGUUAAAAGUAAAGCGAUGUUCUCUCCAUGCAGGUAGAACCCUACUCGUAUUACCAAGGUCUUCCUAGUAGGAUAUUUAAUACGUCCAUAAGGACGACGUCACACCGUACAUCCUGCUUUAACUUCCCUAGCCCCAACUGAUCUACCAUCAUCGUGGACGCUAUCAUUUCCAAACUCCCUGCAUCAAUGAUUAUCUUUGCACUAGCCAAUUUCGACAUAGAUUUUGAAUACAACCUUCAGUCUUCUCCUCCUUUCUGCUGACGUUGCCACACAAUGUAACGACAGCGAAACUGUCUCCUCUCCUAAGCUUGAGAACUCCCGCUAUAUGUUUCCAACUUGAACUUACAAUUAGAGCUUCCCGGGCUCUAGGCUUGACAACGUUCACUCUUCCAUCUUCAGCAGGUCUAUUCUGCACUCCCCUAGCAACAUUCGUCCGUCUGAACAUUGGAACAGUAACGAAAAAAAGUCCCCACUCCUCCACAUUCAUAAUAGUUACCAGAUUCCCUCUGCUGAGCCUUUUCUUAUCUCUUCUGCAGCAAGCUCUGCUGGCCUCGCGCUCCAAACUGAUGGCGUCUCGACGUUCUCCUGGCGCUCUCCCCCUUUAAGAAGUAUGUAAAAAGGCUCACGUUUUUUGGCUUCCUAUAUACCCCUCCUAGAAUGUGGCAACUUUAUACUUCUCCUGAGGUGUCUUGCCGUAUCUAAAAUGACUUCGAGCAUCCAGCUUCACCACUGCUGCCUGCUCUCUCCUUCUUCGGCACUUCCCAGUCCACAACAGACCUGGUCUUCUCUUGAUCCAUCUGAAUCACACCCUUGCUGAUCCAAUGGCCAAGAAAUAGCACUUUCGUCUGAGUACUCUUUCACGUACAGCCUCUUUUCCUGCUACACCCGGAACACUGUACUCAGGGUUCCAAACCUCCAGUGAGUGACUAUAAACGAUUAUGUCAUUGAGGUUUUCCACUACAAACUGGUCAAGGUAAGGGUUUGAGUUAUCCAUUUAAAAAUGAUUAUUUCAUUGAGGUUUUCCACUACAAACUGGUCAAGGUAAGGGUUUGAGUUAUCCAUUGAAGUGCGAAACAAGACCUGAAUUGGGAUGAUAUUCAUAGAUCACUAACUCUUUGUGUGCAUUAUGGAGUCUCCACUCCAUGUUGAAAUCUCUUUCAAAUAGCAUGAGCGUUGAAAGUCUUCAAUUUGACUAGAGCGUUAGAUUCUUUUUUUAUUUUGACUUCUUUCAAAGGGCAAUGAAUGGGAGGAAAGGGGUUCACUGGAGUUUGUCUCUGGAAAAUGAUUUUAUUUAUUUAUUCUCUUGAAUGUCUUUUUCUCUGUUUUAUUUCAUGGUAUCAAAGCCAACAAGAGAAUUAGGGUGCUAAAAAAGAAGCCAAAACCUGUUUAUUUCAUGGUAUCAAAGCCAACAAGAGAAUACGGUGCUAAAAAAGAAGCCAAAACCUGCUUGUUGAAAGAAUCAAACUCUUCCUGUCUGCUUUUUCUUUUUUAUUUUAUGAUCGAGGAAACCCUUUUCGUUAUAUGCCCUAUACCCACCCAAUUUCUUAUGUACACAAGAAGGAUCAUAAUUCUUUAUGUUUUGAUACCAAGCUAUCUUAUCAAUAUUUUUACAAAAAAGCCUUCGACGUAGUGAUGAAUUGUGAUACAUAAUCAAUCCUAUUUGUUUUGUUCAUUACUAAAAUGAAUCGAAUCCUAUCAAAUAUUUAUAUUUAUCCUUAGAAUAACUCAUAUAUAUCCUAUGAAAUUCAUUUCGCACCGGAAACUAUUCUAGGAGAAGUUCGAAUCCGUUCCAUUCAGAUAUUGGUUGGUCUUUGUUUGACAUGGUUUACGCGGUACUGAUUCCCGGAAGAGUUAAUAUCUCCAUUAGCUAAACCCUUUCUUACCCUGCCUUUGGAUCGUAUUUUGUUCGUACACAAUCAACGGAGGCCUUCCCAACAUAUGUUGCAACGUCUCCAAUAGCAUGCUCUUACUUCGUCUUUCCCUUAAUAAGUCAUCAAAUUUUGUGCUUUUUGAUCCCUAGUUGCUAUGGGGAACAAAGGACGAAAUACAAUCGAUUCCUCCAUUUAAGUGGUUUUUGCUUCUCCUUGUUCCUGUUCCUAUCUCCUCCCCGGGUAGUUCCCAAUGUUUGGCACUUUCCAUACUUCAUGGGUGCAAUAUCAACAAAUUCGCUCAUGAUCAAGUUAAAACCUAAGAUCUAUGACCAUAUUAUAUUAACUGUUCGUAUUUCGUUCAUUCCAUCGCUAUGCUCCCAGGUACCUGUAAUUGUGAUCCGUUUGCGAGAACAUAGGGGUCUUUCUGUAGAAACCUCCGCGAACAAUCGUCGUUUUUUGAUGGUUUUCCGCUUCUCACAGUUGCUCUUUCCACACCUCCGGAUAUCUGGGGCCAAAUUGUCGCCCCUUUCCUGAUUUCUUUGAUAAUAGAGUUGGCUAUCUUUGUGGCAUCGAUUGUACAAGUUCGUGAAGAGGGCUGGACGAGUGGAAUGAGGGAAAGCAGCUCGAUUGACAAAAAAGAAGAGUAGCCUCCCUAGAACCUGGCAAAGUCAUUAUCAAUGAAUUCCCUAGCAAUUCGCAACCAACAUAUGCGAUUCAUUCCCGCAAAGAUAAUAACACACAAGAAAACUCCUUACCGCUCCGUGGGGAGCGGGAUGAGUGAUACAUCUGGCGAGCACCGGUGAAGAACGCAAGCAAAGAUGGAGCUCGGAUAUUGAUAAAUACCAUCACGAGAAAGGAGGCAGACUGGUAAGAAGGCCGACCAUAGGGGGGAGCGAACCAAAAAACUCAGCUUUUUGAAGCGGACCAAUCUUCCGUGCCACCCCCUUACUCUCUCUCUAUAAAAAUGCCUGCGGGAAGCGCGAAGAGCUAAGCCACUAAUGUCGUGGAGAAGGUUAGACCUCAUAAAGUCAGCAAAGCUAAGGUUUCGUAUGUGUUAUAUCCUUUCGAUUGAGCAAGAACAUAUAAGGAAGGCCUUCAUUUCCCUUUGAAAAAAGUAAAAUAAAAAAAAAGGAGCACUAGGGAAGAGAGAAAGUAGCAGAAGUGCUUCUAGAUCUCAUAGAACAAGGCAGAAUUUGUAACAAAACUUUCCACCUCUUGUUUUCAUAGAAAAAAGAAUUUAGGAGAUGAAAUCCCAAUUACAUUACUGCUGGCCAAAAUUUUAUUUGAAAGAGCAAGCCAGAGAAAAGAAGCGUUUAGAUAAUACCUUUUUUUUAGCUCAUCUACUGAAAAAGGGAGCCCCCUUGAUCACCUGAAGAGAUUUUUAGGAAGAAUUGGCAUAAUUAUUACCGUGAGGAUUGAGCUGCAAAAAGAGAUUAUCCUCUUUUGGGCUGGAAGACAAGAUUUAUGCAGUCCAUAGAAAAAUAAAAACAAGAAAGUAUUCUGACGCCAAAUGCUCUUGGAUGGUUAGUUGAAUAGGGGGAUAAAUCCUUUUUUCUCCUUUAUAUUGAAUGUAAUCAAUCACUUUGAGGUCAAGAGAACCUUGUGAUUUGAUAUAAAUUAUGGCAUGUAUCUCUAAGGAGAGUGGCGCGGCCAAACAUCAUCCUAGAAGCGAAUCAGCUUAACAUUGCCCAACCAAAGUCUAGCCCAAGUUCUGCCUGAAAGUCUGUCUUUUAAAAAAUAAUACCUUUUUUAUGCAGGAUAUUUAAGAGGUGGGUUGGUCAAUCCAUUUUUUCCAUUGGAGAGGCACUUAGCAGCCAAAUAUGAGCACCAUGGCUUUUUCUUUUCCAUUGGUAAUUUCCAUAGCCACUUCAUAAGAAGGGCUGAUUUGGUUGAAGCCUCCUCACGUCCACAACCGGUUGAGGUCACGGCAAUGCCCUCUUGGUCACUUUCCAUGAUGUCUCGCCCAAGCAUGUUACGCUCCUCGUAACCGUGCUCUGAUAGAAGGCUCUAAUUUUCAAUAAAUAUCAUAAGAGAAGAUGCGCAAGAAAAGAAGGUUGUGCAUCUUUUUUUCUCCCAUGCUUUCCGUUGGUCAACAACCAACUAACCCAUUUUUUACGACAAGUCUUUCUGAAUUGGAAGAGCAAGAAGCGGAACUAGAAGAAAACUUUCUUUCUCUUUAUGGAUAACCAAUUCAUUUUCAAAACUAACCCAUUUUUUACGACAAGUCUUUCUGAAUUGGAAGAGUAAGAAGCAGAACUAGAAGAAAACUUUCUUUCUCUCAAUGGAUAACCAAUUUAUUUUCAAAUUUUCCUUCUAAUUCAUCUUCCCCGGUGGAUUUAGGUUUAUCUCUGAGGUCCCAAGAAUGUUCGACUAGUAGCACUCUGUCGGACACCAAUUUGGGGGAUAUUACUAGCACUUAAGUUUUGAGUGAUAUCAUCGCUCUUUUUGAGCAACGAAUGGAAGUGGGAAGAAUUUACACCAGAAUGGAGUCCAAUAGAGCUCUGCCAAGUGGUUUUUGGGGAAGAAGCGAUGAAUGACCUAUCUUUAUUGAAAGACAUCUAUUGUGAUCUAGCGGACCAUGAAAUGCUAAGUUGGUAUUGGGAACCAGCUUGGGACUUUCUAAAUCGCAUUAGCAAUAGUCCAGGAAUGACAUAGCCUUCCUGUGCAUUGGGUAUCUUAACGUACUAAGUAAGCUCAUCUAAUAUAUUCAACUUCACUUGCUUACACGACCGCCACACUGCUCUUUGCUUUCAAAAUAAAAUAUUUCUUCGCUAUCUUUCUUUGAGCUCCUAGGCAACAGAUCCUACUCCCUAAGAAGAGUCAUUAAGAAAGAGGGAUCCAUUUAAAGGAAUUCAUGCUGAUUGCCUAACUUCGGGUACUUUCAAGGCUCACACUACAACAAGAGUCAUCCAUUUAAAGGAAUUCAUACUGAUUGCCUAACUUUGGGUACUUUCAAGGCUCACAAUACAACAAGAGUCCGAGCGACCAGGAGCAGACUUGAAUACAGAAAGAGAUUCGUAUUGUUUGCGCUUACUUACCCAUUUGCUUAUUAACAAAGACAGCCAAGUUCACUUACACCUUUUUUGCCUACCAAUGAUAGAGGAAGGCUUACCUCAGACCCGAACCCCCUAUGAUUGUUUCCACUUGAAGAGACUGAUUUGCGCCCAUAAGUACUAGACUUAGAUAAAGGAAUAGGGAGGCGGAGAUAUUUAAUACUUGAAGCGUAAUCGUAAAAAGAUAAUAAAAACAUACUACUUGAAAGCGCCUAUUAAACAAGAGGGUAUCGAUUAAAGGACGCAUACAAGACUUAUUCCAGACCUUAUUCCUUCGCAUGCUUCUAAGGCUCGAACUCGUCACUAAGUACGAGAGCUCUAAUGUCAUGUCAAACCUGAAAGCGGAUGCGAGAAAGAUGUAAAAAAUCUGCUUAGGGUCAGAUUGGACUUUAUCUUCUUGCCCUGCUUGCCACCACAAAACCUGAUAGCGGACGCGAGAAAGAUGUCAAAAAUCUGCUUAGGGUCAGAUUGGACUUUAUCUUCUUGCCGUGCUUGCCGCCACUCUGAAAGCCUGAGUCGCAGCUCUCUAAGUCAUUCCAAAAUAAGUUAGGGGUAGGGGUCUAGCUCAGCUCUAAGCCUAGGAUAGGACCUUCUCCAGGAAACAACUUCUUUCUAUUUUAGUAUAACGGAGUCUCAGUAAACCGUUCUAAAGCCCACCCUCUAGCCCGUCAGGCUUUCCCAGACUCAUCUCGCCGGCGAAAUUCUAUUAUCUGUCCUACCUCCUAUGAGCCCUAAGCAGACCAAGCUUCCUUAGCGUACUGAGCCUACCUAUUCAAGAGAACAGAGCCUCAAACUCAUCUCGCCGGCAAAAUUCUAUUAUUUUGUCGUACCUCCUAUGAGCCCUAAGCAGACCAAGCUUCCUUAGCGUACCGAGCCUACCUAUUCAAGAGAACAGAGCCUAGCUACAAUGGUAUUUAUUCUCUUUUCAAGGGAGAUCCUUUAUAGAGGUUGUCCAUCUACGAAUUAGUGAUCCAACUGGGCAUCUUACAUAUGAAUUCGUGCUCCAAGUAUGGGCUCUUCCCUCUCUCCAUAAAGGAAGAAGAAGGCAAGACUAAGUCAUUUAGUUGUUUUCUAUUUCCAUCCUGCCUUCACCAUGCCUACCCUGUAAAAAGAUUCUCCAACUUAUGAUCUUUAAGUUUCGGAUGUGAAGGCUUAGGCUUCCAUAUUUGUUCUAGGUUUUCUUUAUUCGCUGGGGCACUCUGUUCCUUCCUGUUCCCAGAGCUGAGGCAUUGUAGUGCAGCUGCUGCUGAAGGAUACUUUGUUUGGGAAGACGUGCUCUUGUUGUUUUUUUGCUGCUGCGGCCUCAAUACGAUUCUGGCUAUCCUCUCUUUUCUUUUGCGUGCGGGCCGUGAUGUAUUUAUCCUUUCUAUCUUUCUUGCUCUAUCGAUUUUUUUGAGGGCCUCCCGGACCCCAUUGUCAAUAGUUCUCUUUAGCGGGACGUAUGUCUCGGCUAAUGCUUUUGAUUAAAAUAAAAGCACCUGCUCUUUCGACAUCUCUUUCGCUUGUCCAGUAAUCUCUUCUUUCUCAAAAAAGAAAAAGUAGGAACCCGGUCUUGACGCCCCUAAAAAAUAGCAAUAGCUCGAAUCCUAAGCUACGGCACGCAAAGGAAUGGUUCCAUGAAUCAUGGGCGGAUCAUAACAGAUUUUCCAUCAGAGGACUACUACGACUACAUCACGUCGAGGCGCCCCGGUCUGAACAUGCCAGGUUGGUUGACAAACCCAUGGGCAAAGCCAGGGGGGAGGGGGCAGCCGGAAAGGAUAGUUCCUGUGGUUCGUAUGCCUACUUGACGAAAGGGAAUGAACAACCAUUCAUUUCCGGGUUUAUGGAUUGGAUUCAGUCAGCCUCACGACAUAAUCAGAGUGAGGCUUUGGUUACCGGCAAACGCUUCUCCAAAGGCGACCCUCUCGAGUUUCCGGCUGUUUCCGUCAUUGAAGUAGCCUUUCGUCGCCCUACCAAAGGAAAGAAGUCACUAUCAAACAGCUCGCCCUAUUGAAGUACCAAAGGUGCGCUCAGCCCGGUGACUAGGAAAUGUAAAGGCGACCCUCUCCAGUUUCCGGCUAUUUCCGUCAUUGAAGCAGCCUUUCGUCGCCCUACCAAACGAAAGAAGUCACUAUCAAAUAGCUCGCGCUAUUGAAGUACCUAAGAUGCGCUCAGCCUGGUGACUAGGAAAUGGGUUUGCCCUUGAAUUGAAGUGAUGAGGUCGGAAAGAGGGAAGUAGGGCUCCUAUUGACUAAAGGUUGGUUCUUCGCUUUCCUUUAGAAUGAAAGUUGCUAUGAAGCCCCUACUACUUACUAGGUUGGUUCUUCGCUUCCUUUAGAAUGAAAGUUGCUAUGAAGCCCCUACUACUUACUUUGUUGAUUCAAAAGGCCAACAGCCCCCCAACUAGUUGAAUGGGGUGGGAUGCUUGUGAAAAGCUGCUUUGGAUAUGAGUAAUUCCUAAUAAAAGGGAAAGUCCGGUUUUUGACGAAGAUCUUUCUAUCAAUAGAUAGGAAUGAGUGUUCGAUAUAGGGGAUAGGAUCCAUCUGCUCUUUAUCUCACAAUUUUUUUUGUGAUAAAUAUAUAUAUAUCGUUUAUCUAUCUCUUGUCUAUCUAUCAUUGAUUCUCAAGUCAAAAUACUUCGAUUUUGGGUUCCUCGAAGCCCCGAAUGGAAUGGAUCGUUUCUGCCGACGAAAUGAACGCGGAGCCCGUUCAGAAUCCUUCUACGAUCCGGAAGUUCUCGCGAAGAGAAUAAGAUGCUGCUCCCCUUCCCUCUUUCUUUUCCCGCUUUGCUAAUCUUCCCCUCUAACGCGGGCCGGGCGGCGACGGGCGCGGGAGGAAGAAACCUAAGAGAAGACGCUCGUCUCUUAGGUCCUUUUUUUCAGUGCAACACAGGAAAGCGCCCUCUUUUUGUCAUCCCUGCAGCUUUCCAGAUUUUGUAUUGAACGCAUGGCGUAGCUAGGACCCUUCAAAUUCUGUUUGAGCCUAUGUUCAAGCCAAACCCACCCCCUAUUUUACCUUUGCUAAUCUUCCCCUCUAACGUGGGCCGGGCGGCGAGGGGCGCAGGAGGAAGAAACCUAAGAGAAGACGCUCGUCUCUUAGGUCCUUUUUUUCAGUGCAACACAGGAAAGCGCCCUCUUUUUGUCAUCCCUGCAGCUUUCCAGAUUUUGUAUUGAACGCAUGGCGUAGCUAGGACCCUUCAAAUUCUGUUUGAGCCUAUGUUCAAGCCAAACCCACCCCCUAUUUUACUAAGGCUGGAAAGAAUGCCCACCAAGUUCAGAUAAGGGAAUGCUUUCCCCAACCAUUAAAGGAAAGGCUCGACGAAGGGAGGGAGGUGCGGCGGGGGAAGGAAAACGCUUUCGGAGAUCGAGAUUUUUUUUUCAUCGAAAACGAAGAAGGCCGAGGAUGGCCUACGGUGCGUCUUAUCUGAAGGGAACUUUUGUUAUCCCUGCAGCUUUCCAGAUUUUGUAUUGAAUAGCUAGGACCCUUCAAAUUCUUUUUGAGCCUAUGUUCAAGCCAAACCCACCCCCUAUUUUACUAAGGCUGGAAAGAAUGCCCACCAAGUUCAGAUAAGGGAAUGCUUUCCCCAACCAUUAAAGGAAAGGCUCGACGAAGGGAGGGAGGUGCGGCGGGGGAAGGAAAACGCUUUCGGAGAUCGAGAUUUUUUUUUCAUCGAAAACGAAGAAGGCCGAGGAUGGCCUACGGUGCGAAAAGGCUCGACGAAGGGAAGGAGGUGCGGUGUGUGAAGGAAAACGCUUUCGGAGAUCGAGAUUUGUUUUUCAUCGAAAACGAAGAAGGCCGAGGAUGGCCUACGGUGCAUCUUAUCUGUAGGGAACACGCUUUUUUGACCGUCCUGGUAUGAUUGCUGGGCCCUCUCCUCGUUCCGCCCUUCCUAUUGGGAUAGCUGCCUUCGGGCUUUGCCUGCCCUUUAUAAUAAAAAAUUCCGGCUCUGCCCGGGAAAGCGCUGGCAACAACAGAAAGGAAGGGGUCCAUGUAGCUCCUGUGACCGCCCCCUUCUUAGUCAAUGGGGCACAGCAGGUUCAUCAUCUACUACAAAAGAGAGAAUCCACUUCAGAUAACCACGUCUCUGCUAGAAUAAAAAGUUCCGGCUCGGCCCGAGAAGGCGCUGGCAACAAUAGAAAGGAAGGGGUCAAUGUAACUGCUGUGUCCGCCCCCUUCUUAGUCCAUGGGGCACAGCAGGUUCGGCAUCUACUACAAAAGAGAAAAUCCACUUCAGAUAACCACGUCUCUGCUAGGCAGCGUGUGGAAUGGCCGAGAGCGGACCUUUUAGGAUAUAUAAUCCAAGUCGAGAGUAGAGUUACAGGAAAAGCCGUAUGAUGGAAAACUACUUUCACGUUUGGUUCAGAGAGCACUUUUUUCGUUGAGAAUUCCUCGUUCCCUUUCGUGUGAAUUCCCCAGCGGCAAAUUCAAAACUUGUGGGGCCCUAUCUAUUCCAUCUCUCGAGCCCCGAAGAAAUCCGAGAGCGGACCUUUUUGGAUAUAUAAUCCAAGUCGAGAGUAGAGUUACAGGAAAUGCCGUCUAAUGGAAAACUACUUUCCCGUUCGGUUCAGAGAUCACUUUUUUCGUUGAGAAUUCCUCGUUCCCUUUCGUGUGAAUUCCCCAGCGGCGAAUUCAAAACUUGUGGGGCCCUAUCUAUUCCAUCUCUCGAGCCCCGAAGAAAACCCCCUACCCUUCGGACUCCAUAUAUCUUUUGACUCUAUAUAUGUGGGCACCUGAUAUCUAUGAGGGUUCACCCACCCCGGUUACAGCAUUCCUUUCUAUUGCGCCUAAAAUCUCUAUUUCUGCUAAUAUUUCACGUGUUUCUAUUUAUGGUUCUUAUGGAGCUACAUUGCAACAAAUCUUCUUUUUCUGCAGCAUUGCUUCUAUGAUCUUAGGAGCACUGGCCGCCAUGGCCCAAACGAAAGUAAAAAGACUUCUAGCUCAUAGUUCAAUUGGAUUUGUGGUGCCCUAUCUAUUCCAUCUCUCGAGCCCCGAAGAAAACCCCCUACCCUACGGACUCCAUAUAUCUUUUGACUCUAUAUAUGUGGGCACCUGAUAUCUAUGAGGGUUCACCCANNNNNNNNNNNNNNNNNNNNNNNNNNNNNNNNNNNNNNNNNNNNNNNNNNNNNNNNNNNNNNNNNNNNNNNNNNNNNNNNNNNNNNNNNNNNNNNNNNNNNNNNNNNNNNNNNNNNNNNNNNNNNNNNNNNNNNNNNNNNNNNNNNNNNNNNNNNNNNNNNNNNNNNNNNNNNNNNNUAGCCUCACCCACCCCGGUUACAGCAUUCCUUUCUAUUGCACCUAAAAUCUCUAUUUCUGCUAAUAUUUCACGUGUUUCUAUAUAUGGUUCUUAUGGAGCUACAUUGCAACAAAUCUUCUUUUUCUGCAGCAUUGCUUAUAUGAUCUUAAGAGAACUGGCCACCAUGGCCCAAACAAAAGUAAAAAGACUUCUAGCUCAUAGUUCAAUUGGACAUGUAGGUUAUAUUCGUACUGGUUUCUCAUGUGGAACCAUAGAAGGAAUUCAAUCACUACUAAUUGGUAUCUUUAUUUAUGCAUCAAUGACGAUAGAUGCAUUCGCCAUAGUUUUAGCAUUACGGCAAACCCUUGUCAAAUAUAUAGAUGAUUUGGGCCCUCUAGCCAAAACGAAUCCUAUUUUGGCUAUUACCCUCUCCAUUACUAUGUUCUCAUACGCAGGAAUACCCCUGUUUCCCGGCUUUUGUAACAAAUUCUAUUUGUUCUUCGCCUCUUUGGAUUGUGGGGCUUACUUCCUAGUCCCAGUGGGAGUAGUGACUAGCGUUAUAGGUCGUUGGGCGGUCGGAAGGUUGCCACGAGUAAGUAAGUUUGGGGGACCGAAGGCAGUUCUCCGUGCACCGGACACGUAGCUUACCGAAUCAGUUGCGACACGGAUGGGAAUGCAUGCUACGAAAGAUAGGGUCGAGUCUGAUACAUCAACCGUCUACUCAAUAUCCUUGUACGAGUCCACAAUGACAGAAUCAGUUGUGACACGGAUGGGAAUGCAUGCUACGAAAGAUAGGGUCGAGUCUAAUACAUCAACAAUGACUACUCAGUAUCCUUGUACGAGUCCACAAUGAAUACACGAGAUGAACCUUGGUUUGGUGAAUUGAAGUUGGCCUUAGGUGUAAUAGGACUCCUAGUUAUUGCGCGCGAUCGUAUACUGAGGCGCUCCCCGCCGGUAAUUGGAACCACGCGAGCCGGGCCGGGUCUCGAUUUAGAAAGAUGAAGGGCCCAGAAGUCUAAAUAGGGGGUUACAAAUUCCCCAUCUCAUUGGGGGCGGAAAACUAAUCGACAUCUCGAUGUGAUACAUCCCUUUCAAUUUUUGUUGGGAAAGAACGGCGAAGUCCAUCCGAACCGUCCAAUGAAUAAUAAGAGGAGAGCAAAGCGCCAAUGGCGCGCGAAGCACAUGCGGAACGGGCACGGAGAAAAAGAAGUGUGGAGGAGAAGCAACCGAGCUCAUUCCCUUCGCUUCCUGGGCCCAAAGCAGUGCAGUCGUUCCUGGCAAAAUCAAGGAUUUGGGGCUUCUUGCUACACUACAACACAAUAAAAAUCCAUUUUGAUUAGUAAUACAUAUGAAUAGAAAGAUAGAUACAUCCAUCUAUCCUAUCCGAUUUAGAUUUUUAUAUCUAAAAAAGAAUUGAUCUCAUUCAACGUUUGAUUCAAAGAACUGCGCUUAUACCCCCCCCCCCCCCCCCCCCCCCCCCCCCCCCCCCGAAGCACUGGAGUGAUCCAGUAGCCGGGAAGGGGCCUAGAAGUGCCUACUACUACACCACACUACACUUGGCUCUACACAUUUACAGAGCUAACCCCUGUCCAGUGCUUGGCAGAGCUAAGGGGGCUUCAAUCCUUACUCUUUAUCCCCAUCUUCGCCCAGGCUAACGGGGCCUUACUUAUUCAGGGGGGAGCCUCGAAAAGCACUGUUGAGAGGAAGAUCCUUGGCCCCUCUUCAUUCUCUACAGGGUUCCAAACCUUUCUUCAACAUAGGUGACAACGAGCCAGGCAGUGAUGGAAGAGAUCAAACACGGGAAUAAGAAGCAAGCUCACCUUCCUUUUUGAUCAUUUUGAUAGAGGGGGAUGAAGAAAGUGGACAAAGCAGACUCGCAUUUCUCAUCGAACAAAUACAGGAAAAGAAUCAUAUUGAAAAUGCUCCUAACCCAACCCCUUCCUUCGUAGAGCCCGUGUAUUGUACGUGAUCCGAACCUGCCCGGAGCGAACCUCCCAUAGAGGCAAGUGAAGUUGGUGAGCUGUAUGAUGGGCAACUAUCUCCUGCGGUUCGGAGAGAACUCGGCUGUUAGUUAGUACCCCCUUGGUUUCAGGGUGGACCUUUUCACUCUAUUUUAUUAUAUACGCUUAGCGAAAAGAAUGUUUUUUGAUAUACCUAGGACAUGGAUUCUAUAUGAACCAAUGGAUCGUGACAAGUCGUUACUACUAGAAAUAACUUCCUCUUUCAUUACUUCAUUCUUUCCAUAUCCCUCCCCUUAGUUCUCAGUUACUCAUCAAAUGGCACUCAGUUCAUAUCUUUAAGUUCGAUCAUUGACAAGGUUCAAAGAAAGGGUGGGCCAUUGAUAAAGAAUCGAUGGAAAACCACAAUGCUAGCAGAUGGCGGGCCUCCGCUUUUCUUUUCAUUAAUGAAACCCGCCAGUUAUUAUGAAAACCACAAUGCUAGCAGAUGGCGGGCCUCCGCUUUUCUUUUCAUUAAUGAAACCCGCCAGUUAAUAUGAACUGAAAUAAAAAAAAUAUGGAUUUAGAAGGCUUGUUCAAAAGAAAAAAAGACGUGGGUGGCAUUAUUACUGGGGUGUCAGUUAGAAAGG